UCAUUGGAGAGAUUUGCCAGUAAGCAAAAUAUUGUGAUAUUGACAAAAUUAGGUGAUUGCAUCGUCUUCAAACCAUAAAGACUCUGUAGAAAUCUGUGCAGAGGCUGAAAACUCAAACUGGGUAGCUUUGAUUUUCAGGCCUUCAGGUUGUAAUGCAUUAAAAACAGACAUAACUCUGUAGCGGAAAUCACUGCAUUGGCUCAAAACCACUUCAAAACACAUUUUUUUUUACGAUCAAUACUAUCAAUUAUCUUUCGCUCCACAUGAAAGGAGCUGAACGGAGUCAAACAAGGACAGCAGGAAUAAUACCUAAUGAGUAUCCAUUGUGUUUGCUUCUGUCUGCCAGGGCCUGAAAUGAACAGGCCGUCUUGCUUCUAUUAAACUAGAUUAAAUUGGCUAUAAUAAAAUUUGCCUGACGUAUGUUUUAAUGCUGAUUAAAGGCGGGGUCGAGAUGGAUGACCACUGCAGAAGUCCUCACGUUGGAUUGAAUGCAUAAGGCAAUUCCCGUCGCUAUACACAGUCGUCGUUCGCUGUAAAAGGAACUUAAAUCAGGUCUCAGGAUGGUAUCCCAUCUUUCAAAGGAAGCAUUUACUGGCAUUUGUGAAAGGACGCUUAUCCUCACUGCUUGCACGCUCAGUGCUAGAAUACAAAUGCUGUCUUUGGAGGGGAAUCUGUGUUCUCAUAUCAGGCCUGAUUUGUCCCCCUGUGAAGGGUUUGUGCAUACCGCAAAGACACGACAACCUCUAUCAGUGAGAGAUAAACUCAUAAUGCAGACUAGGGCCCGACCCAGGACCCCCCACCGUGUCUUAACUCACGUUACUCAUUUCCCGUCCGGUCUCAUCUGGAGACAUGCAGCUGCCUCAGUAAGACAAGUAGCUCGAUCACGUAAUGUGUACUUUUGUUUAUUCUACCGUUAUUGACGCGGCUAUCGGUGUAGCAAGGCUAAUAGCAGGUGGCUAACUCUAACUUCAGCUUGCAUAUUACAUGGUGCUUCACCGUUAACUCGGCGUGACCGAGACCAGCACAGUGGGGAACAUCGUGAAGUUGGUCGAACUGAAACUUGUUGACUUGUGUAUUUCACAAACUGGUUUAUUUACCGUUGAGGCGAGUUUUGGCCAGUUACCGAUUAGUUCCAAAUGGGCUAAAAUUGGCCGAUUUAAUCAGCUCGCCGAUAAAUCGGUCGGGCCCUAAUGCAGACGCAUGAUUAGAGGAACCAGACUCAACUAUAGGACACAAAAGUUUAAGUGAAAUCUCUUUUUUAUAUCAUCCAGUUUAUUUGAAUCAGACACCGUAGGGGAUCUCUGAUGGCGAAGGCUGCCAUAUGCUAAUUGUAGCUGUUAGCCAAAAAAUAAGCUUGAGUUAGCAUUGUUGGUAUGAGCUUAAAAAUUUGCAUCAAGACACCAACAGCUAAUUCGCUGGCUAUGAAAUGCCUAACUUUUGGAUUUGUGAAAUUCAAUCAUUUAUUACCAGGUUAUCAAAGAAGUUUUACUGCUUUAUUUCGAAUCAAAAAGCAAUGAUGACGUCUUUUUAUGAAGUUGAUUACAAAGACGAAGGACAAGUGAGGCCUCUUCUGAUUCAAACAUUUGCAAAAAAGUCUUCUGUCAGAACACGGCGUCUCUUCGCGGAGCACACAAAGCCUCAAGGAUGUAUCACAAGACUCAGCGAGAUAAAAUGAAAACUAGGAGUAUCGAGAAGGAGAGACGUAAUGGGAGAAGAAAAAAGGGGUUGAAAACUGAACAAAGGGUUAAUAAAAAGUGCUGUCUUCAUCGAUUCGUGGAGUAUUUUCUCCAGCAUGAUGUCUUCUGCGCUAAAGGUCAGAUGAGAAAAAGAUGAAAGUGCAACCAGGAACAUCAACCUCAACUGAUAGUGAGAUGGUGAAUUAUUGAUCCCAGGGAUAAGGAUGCAGAAAACAAGGGUGCAUACAAGCCUGGAUCAUCACUGAGCCUAUGUUCUCUUCAUCUAGAUAUCAAAAAUGGGCAGACAUCUCACUUUAUUGUUAACUAAUCAUUUUUACAAAGUAAGGCCAUUUCAUGCUUCUUUCAAGAGGGUGAAUCAUUUCAAAGUUCCAACUAAUUUUCAGAUGCUGUGGGAGAAAAGCAUCCCACUUGUACUCUGAAAACCUUGAGUUAAAAAAAAAAAAAAAGAUGUUAACUUAUCAAAAUGCUGCUUUGAUGCUUGUUUUUCUGACACUUGAAAGAGACAAAAAGAGACGAGCGUCAAUGGGGAAAAAAGGAGUCUUUUUUGUUCUCAAAAACACUGCAAAUACUGUUUUUGACCAUUCAGGUCAACUUUACAGUAUGGAUUCAGGAAAAGAACAACAGCUGGACUUAAAAGAUGAUAGAUUUUCUUGGCAAAAGCUUUGGAUGAUGGUGGUUUGACAUGAAGUGGCUUUUGAAUAUAGAUUUUCCUCUAAACUAAUUAAAACGGAUGAACAAUAGAGAAUUUUGGCAGCUCAAAUACAGUAUUUAUUCAGUAUCUCAGGCUCCAAAUAUAGAAAUUUAACUCUACGCUCUCCUACAUGUGAUCUUAGAGUGCAAAUAAACAAGGAAACCCUAAUGCCUAUCCAAACCAAACCAUCUUAAACUCAACCUGGCGCAAGCUGACACUGUCACCAAGCUCUCCAUCAUGCGCAUGCUCAAUAAAUGCAAGGAAAUGUUCACACUCAGGCAAGUUCAAACCAACUAAAGACUUUUUAAAAUGUACUUUUUCAACUCUCAUAUCUGCUUACAUAGACAGGAAACCGGUACUGCCAUGUUCUCAGAAACCAGCUUAAUCUCAACUUGGCAAGGUCCAGAUACUUCGGACAAAGGCCGUCACCAAGCUCUCCAUCAUGCGCACUCUCAAUACAUGUAAAGAAAUGUUCACACUCAGGCAAGUUCAAACCAACUAAAGACUUUUUAAAUGGUACUUUUUCAACUCUCAUAUCUGCUAAUGUAGACAGGACACCUAUACUAUCAUGUCCUCAGAAACCAGCUUACUCUAAACUUGGCAAGGUCAAGAUACUUCAGACAAAGGCCUUCAACAAGCUCUCCAUCAUGCGCACUCUCAAUACAUAUAGGGAAACAUUUACACUCAGGCAUGUUGAAACCAACUUAGGACUUUUAAAAAGUACUUUUUUAACCCUUAUAUCUGCUAACAUACACUCACCGGCCACUUUAUUAGGUACACCUGUCCAACUGCUUGUUAACACUUAAUUUCUAAUCAGCCAAUCACAUGGCGGCAACUUAGUGCAUUUAGGCAUGUAGACAUGGUCAAGACAAUCUCCUGCAGUUCAAACCGAGCAUCAGUAUGGGGAAGAAAGGUGAUUUGAGUGACUUUGAACGUGGCAUGGUUGUUGGUGCCAGAAGGGCUGGUCUGAGUAUUUCAGAAACUGCUGAUCUACUGGGAUUUUCACGCACAACCAUCUCUAGGGUUUACAGAGAAUGGUCCGAAAAAGAAAAAAUAUCCAGUGAGCGGCAGUUCUGUGGGCGGAAAUGCCUUGUUGAUGCCAGAGGUCAGAGGAGAAUGGCCAGACUGGUUCGAGCUGAUAGAAAGGCAACAGUGACUCAAAUAACCACCCGUUACAACCAAGGUAGGCAGAAGAGCAUCUCUGAACACACAGUACGUCAAACUUUGAGGCAGAUGGGCUACAGCAGCAGACUCCUGGUGCCACUCCUUUCAGCUAAGAACAGGAAACUGAGGCUACAAUUUGCACAAGCUCAUCGAAAUUGGACAAUAGAAGAUUGGAAAAACGUUGCCUGGUCUGAUGAGUCUCGAUUUCUGCUGCGACAUUCGGAUGGUAGGGUCAGAAUUUGGCGUCAACAACAUGAAAGCAUGGAUCCAUCCUGCCUUGUAUCAACGGUUCAGGCUGGUGGUGGUGGUGUCAUGGUGUGGGGAAUAUUUUCUUGGCACUCUUUUGGCCCCUUGGUACUAAUUGAGCAUCGUUGCAACGCCACAGCCUACCUGAGUAUUGUUGCUGACCAUGUCCAUCCCUUUAUGACCACAAUGUACCCAACUUCUGAUGGCUACUUUCAGCAGGAUAAUGCGCCAUGUCAUAAAGCUGGAAUCAUCUCAGACUGGUCUCUUGAACAUGACAAUGAGUUCACUGUACUCAAAUGGCCUCCACAGUCACCAGAUCUCAAUCCAAUAGAGCAUCUUUGGGAUGUGGUGGAACGGGAGAUUCGCAUCAUGGAUGUGCAGCCGACAAAUCUGCGGCAACUGUGUGAUGCCAUCAUGUCAAUGCUGGACCAAGCUUCCAGCACCUUGUUGAAUCUAUGCCACGAAGAAUUGAGGCAGUUCUGAAGGCAAAAGGGGGUCCAACCCGUUACUAGCAUGGUGUACCUAAUAAAGUGGCCGGUGAGUGUAGAUGGGACACCAAUACUACCAUGUCCUCAGAAACCAGCUUACUCUCAACUUGGCAAGGUCCAGAUACUUUAGACAGAGGCCGUCAGCAAGCUCUCCAUCAUGCGCACUCUCAAUACAUAUAAGGAAACAUUCACACUCGGGUGUGUUUAAACCAAUUUAAGACUUUUUAAAUGGUACUUUCUCAACUCUAAUACCUGCUAACCAAAUCCCAGAAUAUUAAAAGAAAAGACACCUAUAUUGCCAUGUCCUCGGAAACAAGCUUUACCUCAAAUUGGCAAGGUCCAAAUACUUCGGACAGAGGCCGUCAGCAAGCUCUCCGUCAUGCGCACUCUCCGUCAUGCGCACUCUCAAAACAUAUAUAUGCGUAGUUUGCAAUCAAAAUAAAUACAUUACACUGUAAAUACUCUCUGCAAACAUGGCCAAAGAAUACCGCUUAGUUUCUGCAAAUGUAUUUGAGCUAUAAGGACGUCACGUAUCAAACGCUAAAGGUUUGGUUUGCUACUAAAGUUCUCUGAUCAUGGGCCUCCCCUUCAGUUUUUUCUAUCAGCCCUGCUGAGUGAGAAAUAAAGCACAAAUCCUCUUUAUCCCUCAUGCUUUGCCUUCUCAGACAAAUAGAUAUUGUAAAGUGGUGAAACAAUGAUGAUUGACUGCUCUGCUAAUCCCGGUCUCGGCUUCUCUCUGGAGUGGCAAGCAAGAGAGCGGUAGACAGAGCUCUGGUGUCUCAGCAAAGUCGUCCCAUACAAAUGUUAAUCCUUGAUCCAGUGAUGUUUUUAUUUUCAGCUGGAGGCGUGUGAAUAUGCUGAAACAUGGUAGUAAAAGGGAAUUUUAAGUUUUCUGUUCGGCUCAGAGUUACAAGGCCAGAUAGAAGGAAGAAAAAAAAGUAGAGAGGUUGGAGUUUGUUUAAUUUUUUAUUAAGCGCUUUGUGAGAAUGACAUUUGUAUUCGCAGAAUUGACUCUCCCUCUCUCUCUGUUAAUAUUGGAAAAAUUGAAAGGAGCAGCUUUAAUACUACAUGGAUUAGCAGUCGUGCUCAUCCAAAACAGUGGAUUUGGUGAUGCUACUUAAAUCAAAAUCAAUGCAAAGUGGCAAAAUUGCAACCGCUCUCCAUUUUCAGCCCUCGAAGACUUUAAUUAGAUCCUUUUAGGUAAAGUUCACACUGCACGUCUCAAUUUUGGUCCCAUUAGAGCUGUAUUAAAGGUGACAGUCUGUGUGAAAAGAGAAAUUUAGAAAUAAGUGACAUGUCACAACUUCAUUUUCCACACACUGUCCACUCUGCUGUCUCCAGAUAAGCGAUUUAACAGGGCCAAUAUGACUGGUCAGUCCACAAUUAUACUCCUCAAACCUCCUUUUUUCUCCCUUCAUCCGAGCCUCUGGAUGCAUCUCUGUGGCGAGGCAAAUGUCACUAAAUGCCAGGGCAGGCUAACCAUUCCAAAAGCUAAAUGUUAGUUCAUCUGUUGUGUCAAUUUCCACUCAGCCUGACCAGCUGUUCUCCGGGUUGGGCCUUUUUAACCUCAGUGACAGGAAUAUGAGAUUAACCCUUUGGCUAGCGCUGGCAUUCGUAUGUCAGACAUGUACAAAGAGCCAAAUGGGUGAAUAUACAACUCCAUUUCCAAGGAAACUGGGCAGUGCGUGGGAAUUGUUGAUAACACAGCAAGACACAGGGAAAGUACAUUGCAUGGUCAAACUAUGAUGUGCUUUUAUUUUGAAAUAUUCUACUUCUGGUAGAUUAAUUUAUUCAUUGCCAGGUUCAUUUAUGCAAUUUUUACCCAGUGGCACCAUUGACUACUAUAGAAAUUUCUGUAACUUUCAGGACCCACAGAAUAUCUUCUGCUUGGACUAGAAUUAAGUGCGAUAUCUCAAAAGAAAGGGGUGAUUCUCUUCUUUCACCAGAGAACAAAAGUUAGUCUAUAACCCACUCCUGUGUUUAGUUAUUGCCUGCUCAAUGCAGUGUGGUCAUAUCAUCUUUGCCGAUCUGGAAAAAGAAACCUGGGAAAAACACAUUUUCACGAAGGAGAGACUUUCAAGCAGAACUCGGACCGUCUAUUUCAUUUCACUUCAAACUGCUUUACUGUUGGCAUCAAGGUCCUCCCUCCUUGAGAUUAGAUUGUAAUAGACACUUCUUGACGGCUGGGAGUCGUAGUGGCCCUGACGCCGCAACAUAAACCAUACGGACUGCUCGCAUCCUCCUUGCCUGGAACUGUCACUGAAUUCCAGCUCGGUCUCGCUCACUACGACCGGCACCGAUGGCACAACGACACGCUGGAAAAUAGUUUUUUUUGAUUGUCUGCUGAUAUUAUGACAGUUUGGUACCGGGAUCUCCACUGGAUUCAGAGACGUUAGCACCGCGCCCAUAGGAGUCGAUGCGCAGAGACCAUGAGCUCUUGGCUAAUGACUUCGGCAUUUCCCUUUUCUUCUCAUAGAGGAAAAAACACUCCACAACUAAGCUAAUUGGCACACUUGGUAGCACACUUCUUACUGGCAAGUACUUGUUUUUUGUUCUUGUAACAUGGCUAUGACGUAUUUGUCGGCUUUUCUGCGUUCAGAAUAACCCCAAACCUAGUGGCAUGUUGGGGAGGAGCACCAUCUGGUGGAAAACAAAAAAAACCUGAAAAUUCGUCAAAAUCCAUCAAUAGCACUCAGGGCAAAUAGAAAAAAUCAGUCUAAAUCAGUCAUUGGCAUUAAAUGAGUUAAAGUUUACAGAACGGAGAGGAAAGUUUAAUGAACAGUUAGAAAGUACACAAUUGGAUUGGAGACUUUUGGGUUAUACAUGUCCAAUUUUGAUCGUGUUUUUGUACAAUCUAUGACAUGAAACAAAGAUAUUUUACUAGAUUUGUUUUCAUACCAAUUUUACUACACUUAUUAUACCACCAAUUGCAAACACGACUCGAUUUCGCCUCAGCAAUCUGCCUAUUACUGUCAGUCAGUCACACAUUUUUAAAGAGAGCCACUCAAGCGAAUGAGGCAGCUUGUAAUUACUUUAAAGUGCAUCCUUUUGUUCAUUUUAAAAGGGCGAUUUAUCAAAAACACUGGCGACAUAUUUCACACGACUUUUGUGCAGCUUUUACUCAGUUAGUCAGAGCGCCUUUUUUGGUCGGAAACUUCAAGAUCCAAACUUUGUGACAGCCCCCCUCCUUGCGCAUGUGAAGCCGUCCACUGAGUGAUGGCGUCUGGAGGACAAUGAACCUUUGUUGUGUUGAUUAAAGCUUUAUGAAAUGAGGCAGAUGGAGAAUAAGAAAGGCCCCGAGCCUCAGUCAGGCAUGUUGUUGGGAUAAGAAUAUUGCUUCCACGUAAUUAGGUUUAAUAUUGUACUUAGAGGAGCGAAUAGGGCUUUAUGAGAAUUUGAAUCCAAACAAAGCGCCACAAUCAAAUAUUGAAACAAAGAUAAUUGCCAAGGAAUAUGGAAAAUAAUGAAUCAUAUCCCAGGUAGGAAUGAAACCCCCUGGAAAAAAAGGAAAAAUUCAGCGAGGGCAGACACAUCCAGCUAUUUUGCAUGCCCUGUUAGAUCGCUAUGAAGUGAAAAUGAGUGUCCUACUCUGCGGGAUUCAACCUGACAAGUAUGUGCAAAUGGAGUGAAUCUCCUCAAGUGUACCCCCGGAUAACAGUUCCCGCUCUUUUUUUUCCUUUCCCUCCCUUCUCCAACUCUUCCUCUGUCUGUUUCCCAUGGUGACACUCAACAUCUGUAGGCACUGUGACACAAUCUGCGAGUAAUCCAUAACCAUAAAUUCGAUGACAUCUCAUCUGGCUGCUGCUGGUGGUGGGGGUUUACAUCUCCGUGAGCACAGGAGCAAUAUCACCGUCCGCUAGCCAUGCAUCUCAAGCACCUCCAGAACCUUGAAAUUAAAACAACUGAGCAGCAGAUCUAUCUUUUUUUAUUUUUAUCCCCCACUUUUAUGCAGACACUUUCACAGAGAUAUAUUAAACAGGGCUGCUCUUACAUAAUGUACAAUUUUGUCCACAAAUGCAUCAGGCUAAUUUGGCGUUUUAUUAAAAAUUCCCCCUUAUUGUCGUUUAUUAUGAGGCAUCCUAGAAUGACCACAGCUUGUGGAUACAUCUCUGUCCACUAAAAGCAAUUUCAGCGUGACGCCGGGAUGUAUUAUUCAACUGCUUUAGAGGCAUGUUAUAAUGAAGCAGGUCUCAUUCUGUAAUGUGCAACUGUGUCAUUUUUAAUACAAGGAGCCACACAUGCUGCACACUCUAAUAAAGCAAUAAAACCUGCAUGUAUGAUUUAUUCAAACUUUUUUUAAAAAGUCUUUGUUACUCAAGGACUCACGAAUCAGGCGUCCAAACCUCCUGGCUUGGCUUCACCAAACCAGUUCCCCUUGGCGAAUAAGUGUGGAACCAUUAUAUUCGGUCUAUUUUUUUACAGCAGUUACACACUUGCAUUGAAAAGUGUCUCUGGAAAUAAUUUUGCCGAGUGACGUCGUGCAAGACAAUGGAAAUGCCGUUUACUGGCCAAUCAGAAUCAAGUAAUUACUGCGAUAUUUUGCUGUGUUCGAGUUACCUCGGGAGUCAGAUGUCGGAGCUGAAAAUGACGUCACACACGAGUGACCAGCAUUUUAUUUACCAAGUCAGAAAAAGCAAAAUCAGAGGUGGAAACAAGAUGGCUACAUCAACGAAAGUUAUUUACCAUGUCCGCAUAUAAGGCAAGCUAUAAGGCAUGAAGCCAUCUUGUUUCCGCCUCCGAUUUUGCUUUUUUCCAACUUGGUAACUGAAACGCUGGUAACUCGGGUGUAAAGUCAUUUUCAGCUCAGACUUCUGACUUCCGCGGUAACUUGAACGCAGCAUUAGUAACAUAGACUGCAUAUAGAAUGGACGCCUUCUGCCUCCUCGCCACCCUGAGAACAGCACCCUCUGGUGACGGGCUGCAGUAUAGGUCAUAAAUCCCGACUCCUCCAGCCAUCCUUACAGAGCUGUGGACAAACUUUAGAAAUUUACUACAUUUUGUUUACAUUUUUCUUUCCUAUGCUUGCGAUGUUGACAUGUAGUUAAUGUAGGACUGGUUUGUGCUCAACUCCUUUUUUUUGUACAGCUCAGUUUUUGAAAGUUAUCAGGGGGUUCAUCUUUUUUAUGAUUGACACUUGAUACAGCCUAUGGUGUACAAAGAUGGCGUAGCUCACCCGGGGAAUACACUGUUUGAGCCUAGUGUCACCACAGGGACUCUUGGCGACUCUACGGCCAAAUGCGUACAAUGCGACUGCGCAAGUGGUGGAGUGCGUACAAUGUUACUGUGCAAUGUCAGGAGAAAAAUCGCAGAAAUGCAGAGAGCUUUUCGGCUUUGUCUGUUUCCAUCUGUAUAAAAGAAAAUGGAACUAGAUAGAUAGAUGGAUGUAUUAAACGUCUAACACUGAAUCAAAAAGUUGGAUUCAAUAAUAUUGAUGCAAACAUGCUACCUUUAGCAGUCUGGUAAAGUAAGCUAAACUAAGAGCAUCAAUUUUUCAUGUUUUUGUCCCCACCUCACAUGCAUUAAUGCACCUUUAAUGCACCCGAGAUCUCAUACACUAUUGAUUUCUAUGUAAUCAUCCAUUUCUUUUCAUGUUGCAGCAGCCAUACAUCGCAUUGCACCACAAGCUCCAUUAAUCAAGUUGGAUAAAUGGCGAGCGAGGGGAGUUUUGUCUUCUUUUAAACUCCCACUUUUCUUCAUUGCAUUGUCCGGUGAUGUGUUUUAAUUCACCGUGAUAGCAUCAAGUUCAUGCUGUAUCUCAGUCCAAGGCUAUCUCUAUGGUGAAUAGCCCGCGAUAACCAUCCUUAUUACGUGUGACGCUGCCAAGUUGUCACCAUCUAUGAAAUAACACCACUAUUAGCGGCUAAUGGUGAGCGCUACAAAAGACAGAUUCGGAGCAAAGACGCGAUUAAUCCUGCUGGGGUCAAAUACAAUAAGAGCUAGUGUGUGCAUGGGUGUGUUUUUUUGUACAGUAUGAGCCGGUAUAAUGGUACCCUUUAAUCACAUCUGAGGUCAGUGGAGGAGCUCUCGGCUACAGGGAGUAUUGUGCUAAAGACAUUACAUCAGAUGGAGAGAUAAGUGUAGGCAUAGAUGGAUUGUGUGGAAUGGCUGUGUAAUUAGGGCUUGUUAUUGCAAUUUAUGACAGUAUGACAACAUGUCUCGGAGAGGCAAAUGUGGUUAAUAAUUCAUGUCAAAACAUCAGCUAAUGUGGUAAAACUGCAAAAAAAAUCAUAUUUGUGAACAUCGGUGUAAGACUGGUGCUGAAAACACAACAAAUUUUCUCUUUCAGGGGUUAUUCUCUAGUUCGUGUCCAAGAGCUUUUGCAAUGCAAGUUUUAGAAGCAAACAAAGUCCCCUGAUGAAAGUAUCAGACACAAACCCAACCAGGGGGAUGAUCUUAUAAUAGGAAGGUAGGUGACAGUUAUCACACACGCUGGUUUGUUAAGAGGGGCCUUGCAGGAAGCUGUGCUGUGUUUUGGGCUGCUAAUGCAAGGGUAUGACAGCGUGGACUCGUGCGGAGUUCUGAAAGUAUUAAUCCGAGCAAAAUAUCUCUAACAACGCGCUCUGGAGAGAUGAGACACUAAUUACUAGGUAAAGGCCUCAUCGAUGACAGAGGUGUAUUUAAAAGGACUGUCUGGUGGAAGGAGUUGAAAACAGAUUGUUAAUUUCGCUUGUUCGUGUGGGGUCUCAGCAGGCUGGAGUUUCAGUUGGGGGGAUCUUUGAUGAAAGCUGCUGGAGAGAAUAAAACAAAUAACAAAUGAUGGAGUCUAAUUUAUCUGGGCUUUUUUUUUUUGCUCAUCUAGAUAAACCACUAAGGCUUCCAGGUAGAGAGAAAGUACUCUUAUACUUUAAUAAAAAGUUUCUAUGACACAGAGGAGGAUGCAGCAUCUAUGGUUUCCAAGAAGAAUGUCAAACUUUAACACACCAGACCACUGGACGCUUUUGCACUUUUUGUUACCAUGUCCCUUAACCUGCAGUUGUAUGAACUGUGUCCACACAUAGUGUUAUUUUUUCAGCCCAUGCAGUGAUUUCUACUUUGGAGUUGUAUCUGUUUUUUAAUGCAGUGCCAUUUUGAGUCCUGUAGAUCACAUUUAGACGGCAAAUCCGCUUUCCUUAGUCCUAGCUUCUUUGGGAGUGGAGUUGUAUUUGAUACCAAAGGGGGGAAAAGGGUUUCAACUACAUUUGUCCAAAAAGCAAAUCAGUGGAGCUCUUUUAAUGGAAAUGUCAAUAUAUUUGUGAGUCUGAAGCCCCAUAUAUUGCUACUGCUCUAGUUUUGGCAUAUCUUCGGCUUGAUUUUUUCAUGAUUUGUUCUAUUGAUUUAGUUUUUCCCUGGUUUUGUUAGUUGAGUGUAUUUUCUGUGUUUUUCCUAGUGUUUCUGUUUCCCUGUUGUUCCUGUUCCCCUGUAGUCCAGUCAGUAAGUUUUCAGUUUCUGUUUGACCUUGUUUCCCUCCUGUUCUCUGUGUUUUAUUCUUUAGAUCAGUUCUCAGUGUUUCCUAUUUUAUUUUGUAGUUGUUGAUUCCGUGUAUUAUUCCGUGUACUAGUCUGGUUAUACACCCCUAGUUUUCCCUCCCUCGUUAAUCACUCAUGAGUUUCACCUGUUGCUCGUUAGCCUCACCUGUUGGCCUCACCUGUUGCUCGUUAGCCUCACCUGUUGCUCAUUAAACAGUGUUUGUGUAGUCCUUGUCUUCGCCUUGGUCCUUGUUGGUUCAUUGUGUGUGCUUGUGUCCCCAGUUGUCUCCUUGUGUUUUUUCCCAGUGCCCUUUUGAUUCUUUGGAUUUUGCUUCUUUUUCUUUUUUGAACUUUUGGAUUUGGAUUUGUUUGGACAUUUUGAGAGAAAGUUUUAGUCAGACUUUUUGCUUUUGCUUCAAUAAAUCCUUAGUUCUGCAUUUCUGGGUCCUUUUCCUUUGUUUUUGUACCUUACAUGGCAGAUUUUGUUUAUUGGAUAAAUGUAGGGGUGUCAGUUUUGACCUUUCAAACUAACCAAAAACAUAUCACGGGGGGUGAUUUCAGCAUGUCUGUGCGCUCUGUGGGGACCUUACAAAAGGUGUGCCAAAAAUGUAAGUGGAUGGUGCUGGCAAUUUCUUUUUUUUUUUUUUUUUUUUGAGGUUUAAGUCAACAAACAUUCUCUUUCUAUAAGAAAAAAAGAUCAUCAACAUUGAAACGAUAUAUUUCAGAGCUCAUAUGUAACUGAUAAAAGUUCAAGGACAACAUUUUUAAAGUGAAACAUGUCAAAAAUGAUUGGCAUGGACAACAAAAUUUGUGAAAUACUGAUGCUUAGGGACAUCUCCAAACUGACUGCGUUUAUAUGCAACAGGUUAUAUGCAUGAAGGGUAACAAAAAGGGCAAACCACUGAGGCUAAUAGUGCGUUCGAGUUACCUUGGAAGUCAGAAGUCCGAGCUAAAAUUGACAUCACACCUGAGUUCCCAGGGUUUCAGAAACCAAGUCGGGGAAAAAAGCAAAAUCGGAGGCGGAAACAAGAUGGCUACAUCUGUCAAAGUUAUUUUAGCGCUUGUCUUGUCCGAAUUAUGCAAGCGCUAAAAUAACUUCGGUAGAUGUAGCCAUCUUGUUUCAGGGCUUUUUUUUCCAACUUGGUUACUGAAAUGCUGGGAACUCGGGUGUGACGUAACUCGAACACAGCAUAAGUCUCUCAGAAGUACAGACAAGAAGAGAUUUACUACCUUGUUAGAGCCAGUGUGUGCAAAUAUUUCAACUUUCUCAUCAUUUAUCUGACAAAAUAUCACAAAAGAGUUCAGGAAUCUGGAGAAAGUGAUGUACAAAAGAGGUAUGGCUAAAAACCGAUGUCCAGAUAGGCGUGAUCACACUGCACUACAUGGAAAACAAACACGGCUCUGUAGGAGAAAUCCCCGCAACCGUAAACACUGUUAUCCACAAAUGCGAGUUAAAACUCCAGUUUUAAAAGGAGCUAAAGUGAGUUGUAAGAGUCAUUAGUGUUUUUGUCAUUGUCUGCAACACUAUUCACACUCAACAGUGUAAUUUGGGUUAUUGUUGCCUUGGAAAGUUUGAUUAGUAAAGCUUUGAUGUGUCUUAUUUGAGUCUCGUGGCGAGGGGAGAAAAAUAAAUACAUUCUUUUCCAAAAUUAGGAACACAGCUGGAAAAGGGACCACUGCGCUAAACCCCACCUCUGCGAGUCCCAGCAAAACUGGACAAUUAAUUGCUCUGCAGCGGUGAAAUGUUUGCAUAACCAAAGCGCUAAUCUUCAAAGUAUGAUUCCUCUGCUCGCACAGGCAUGGCUCUAUUCACUUUAACAAUAAAGGAAUUCCCCUUUAUAGAGUCAGCUCCAGCUCUCAGCAUGGUUAGGGGCCUGCUGUGGCUUUUUACUAAUACCAGCUUGUUUAAUAGCGGCUGAAUAUGGCGGAUGUUCUGAAUAAUUUGGCCCUGAAUGCUGUGCAAAAUAAGUGCAGGCAGCAUGGGAGAUGAAUUGUCUCUUUGUAGACUGGCUCAAUGAUCACCCCAAUGUUUUAUUGAGUGAAAUGUUUUGACCGCUGAUGUAUGAACCAUAAAUAUGUAUUGAACACAUUGCUUGAUGAAUAGGCUAACCGUGUUUUGACCCAGCUGAUGGUUUUCUCUCCGCUUUGCUUGAUAUCAACAGGCAAGCACAACGGAGAUAUGGAGAGAAAUAAAUAGGUAAAGUAGAAUUAGAGGUGAAUCUAUUACCAUGCAUCAAUACGAACUGAUUUGGAGCUGAGGGUGCUUUUGAAUGCCCGAAAAAAAAAAGAAAAAAAAAAAGGGGGUUUGUGCAGAGAAAACAUGAAGGAGGUCAAAGCGGAUGUUUGAUUGUGUUUGGCCUGUAUGCAGCAUUUCGAUUGGUCUGGAAUUGCCCAGCAAAUUAAAUCAAACAUUCACCGAUUAAACAUGGCUUUGUUGGAGGUAAACAGCGGAGAACAAAUAGAGUACUCCCACAUAAACAAAGUGCCCCCUUCUAGUUUUUUUUUUUUUUAUGUGCUUGGCUCUUUUGCAAAUGGAAACUGAUGUUGGAAUUUCAAUCUUAGAAGUUAAAGAGGGAUAAGAUUAUUCGGGAACAUGCACAGCAGAGGCCGGAUGAGCAGAAACAGUGGAUAAUACAGCAAAAAUACACAAUUAAAGAGGUUUAAUUGUGUAUUAUAAUUAUUUGGCCCUCCUCUAGAAUGAUGUGUACACAAUAAAUAAACAGUGGGAUUGAGGCAUUUUGUCUGGUCAGGGUCCUUAUGAUUGUAGCCUCAAGUUUGUAAUUACAGCCUUCUCUAAAUGAGUAAUACCAUCGAAUGUCUGCUGUUAUGUGUUUGGACUAGGGCCCGCCAAUUUUAGCCCGUUUGAGACUAAUCGUAAUCGGCCAAAACUCGCCGAUAUUUUCAGAAAUAAAAUGAGGAGAAUAAGAUUCGGUUUCAAUUCGAAAAUGUUCCGCCAUUUGAAAAGUUCCCCGACUGUAGAUGGUGCAGCGACCUCAUGACAAUUUUCAUCCAAUAACUACCUCACAGCACAGCAGAGCGACGGAUCUGAAGCAGGCAGCUCAGGGACACAUGGAGGAGAGCGGUCCGCCUCAACGGUAAAUAAACCAGAUUGUGAAGUAGACAAUAAGUCAACAAGUUUCAGUUCAACCCACUUCACCAUGUUCCCCGCUGUGCUGGUCUCGGUCACACCGAGUCAUAUGCAAGCUAAAGUUAGAGUAAGCCACCUGCUACUAGCCUUGCUACACUGUUAGCCGUGCCAGUAACGGUAGAAUAAACAACAGUACACAUUACGUGACAGAGUUUUAUCAAUCAGUCUUCCUGUCGGCGUGAAGAGCAGUAGCCUACAGUAUAUCUACAGUAUUGUACUGUAUCGGCUGAUUAAUCAGCAAUCAGAUUUUUUUGCCCCCUCAUAAUCGAUAUCGGCAUCAGCCCCAAAAAUCCAUAUCGGUCGGGCCCUAGUUUAGACUAACCAAAAAUAUAAUCAAUGACAAUGUUUCUCUUCAAGCAAUACUACUUCAGAAAACAUAAAGUAUAUAACACAGCUCCAGCAAUAAACUGCGCUCAAUGUUGUUUUGGGAGUGAUUUCAAGCCCAUGUGGUGAAUUCCACUCCAGAGUCAUGACUAUUUUCGAUCACAGGGUAUUGGUUCUCAGUCUUGUCUCUUUCGUACAGCAUUCCUCCAGAUUCACUUAAUCUUCUAAUUAUAUCUUACGCUGUCGAUGAUGAAAGCCCCAAAUUAGUUGCAAAUCAUACUAAGGAGCAUUACUCUAAUUUGGUUGAAGUAUGUGCUUGUGUAUUCUCUCAAAGAGCCUCUCAGGAAAGCUGUUUUCUGGUGCUACAUUGAAAUUGAGUAAACAUCAUUUGUGUUUCAGCAUUUGAAAUGUCCUCUUUCAGUUGAAGGUAGGUUUGAACGAUUCAAAAACCCAUCAAAAGCAGUUUUUUAUUGAAAUUUAAAGCGCUGUGUUUACUUUUUUUGGAGCAGGGGUUGUACUUGAAGUGGAGUGCACAAUGGGCUCUCCUGAAAGCAUCCCUGAAGACUCUCCAUUUGAGGUGCAAUUAAGCAUAAUGAAUCCAGGCUUCUGCUGGUUUAAAUAUCUUGUGGUUUCAAUACUCAUGGAACUCUUUGGUCUCAUACCUUUGCCUAUCAUGGAGGUAAAAAGGACAAACAAGCAAAUUAACAAGGGCAUGUUUCGUUUUUGUGGCACUGCCUUCAACUCCAGCUUUGGAAACUUUGGGUUUGAAAAGAAGUCUCUCAUUUUCAACAGUUGAGAAGAAAGUUGUGCGACACAGCCUUGAGGGAUAAUUCAAAUGGUUGAAUGAGCUGGUUUCAGAUGGUAGUUUUGGGUAUGAAAGUUACAAAGUAAAGAGACUCAAAGCUUCAAUUCAUUUCAAUUGAAUUUGUCCAAGGUCUGCAGAUUUUUAACGCCUCCAGCCUUAACAAAUGUAAAACUUGGUGACAGGGUGGUUAAAAACACAAAUAUCUUACAUUAGGCUUCGAUUUUCACAAGCCUACUCUUUAAAAAAACAAAAAAAAAAAUCAAAACUACAGUAAAAUAACUGCAGUUUUUAUUGCCAGGAAUGUACUGUAAAAAUAACCAUGACAUUGUACAAGACACUACAAUAUAGUAUUUUGCUAACUGUAAAUAUUACAGUAAAAAACUGUUAUUAAUUCACAGUAAAGUAUGAAAAAUACAGGUUGAUUGUGAACCUCUUCACAGUGUUUUGCUGUUAAAAUAACAGACAUUUAUACGGUAAUGUGCUGUAAAAAUAACAUCUAUACAAACAGUCUUCACAACAGCAGAUACACUGUAAACCUAUUUACAGUCUGUUAUUAAUUGACAGUAAAUUGCUUUGAAAAAUACAGGUUGAUUGUAAACCUCUUUACAGUGUUUUGCUGUUUCAUUAACAGUAAUUUUGUAAAUGUUUUUACGGUAAUGUGCUGUAAAAGUAGCACCUUUAGCAAACAAUAUUGACAAUAAGAGUCACACUGUAAAUAUAUUUAAAGUUUAUGUCAGUAAUAAAUGAGGUAGAACUGUAAAUUUUGCAGUAUUUUAUUUAAUGUAGCUCAGAUAUACAGUAAACUAUUAGCAACUGUGGUUUUCAGAGUUUUACUGUAAAAAAUACGGCAAAAACUUUAUGUAACUGUGAAGGAAGGAAAUAGCAACUGAUAUCCAUUGUACACAAAUGUAUAGACACGUGCCUCAGUAUCGCACCCAGGCCUUUACAUGUAAAGCUGUGUAGGGUCCCUAUAGGUGGCUGUUUGGCCUUGCAAGCUUAGGGCAGUGGUAAGGCGCAGAAAUAACUGUGAAGCAGUGGCCAGCAUGUGGCCCUCACAGCUGCAGCACCCAUUAGAAAAUGGCAGCUAUUUAAAGCCUGGCUUGCAUUGGCACCAACCUUAUCCUGCAAAGUGAAAGCCUAACCCUUUACUUUACUUACAAAAUACAUCAAAAUCGACAUUCACUGAACCAAAAAAAGGGCAGACUCUCUUUUUAAGCUGUCUUAUAAAGCUUUGAGGUACACAUACGUUUUUAGUGACACAGAGAAUGUUUAAGAACUGCAACCGCUGAAAAUAUCAUGAAUCUUUGACAGGAUUUCCUUUUGUGGGCGGCGUCAUGGCAGCAACACUGAGCUGUACUGCUAGGAGCUGACAGGUUGAUUUGUAGCCGCGAAACGAACGGCUAUUCAAGGUUUUUUAUUAGCAUGAUCAAACAAUACAUCUAAUUGCUUUCACGUGGAGUUGCAUCCAUAAUGUUCCUUAGUACUUGUUUAGGAGCUGUUUUAAAUGCAAUCACUUUACCUUUGUUGAGGUGAGCUUGGAAAUUAAAUUGAUUUUUCAGCUGCACUGUGUGAUCCUUUUGGAGAUUCAGUCACUGCAGGUGAUGCUGUUUUCAUUCGGACAAAGUACCCUCUCUUUAUUUCAGACAAAUGUACUGACAUCCAAGACAAAGAGAAGAAAAGUGGCUAUUACAAUACUACCUCCCAGUUCUCUUCUCUUUGCAAUUGCUCUCUGACAGAGCAAAUGCAGCGGUCUUUUGUAUUCACAGACGCUUUACCUGUGGAAUUAAAUUCUCUGUCUAUUGCUUUUUCUUCCCAAGCAAGAGGAAAAAGAGUCAUUUAUAGAAUAAGAGGAAAUGACCAAAGGCCAGGCACAGGGGGAAAAAAAGAAAAUAAGUACUUCUUUGAAAGUAGAGCAAUUUUUGAUUUUAUUUCAGUGGCGAAAAUUUCGAAAAAAAAAUGCUUUCUUUUUUAGCCCAUUGUAUAACCUUUCAUAUGACACAAACAGUAGCAGGACUCUAAAUAUCCAUAUGAAUGUUAUCAGCCCUUUCUCUAUGAUUGUGUCUUUUGCUUUUGUCACAAAGAGGCGUUUACAUUAAUUAUAUUUAAAUAAGUUAGAAUGCUGAACAAACUUCUGACGCUCUAUCAACAUCUCAAUGGGAAGCCAACUUCAAGAGUAGGGGUCAUAACAUUCUGACAAGGCAGAGUGCUUUUCAUAUAAACGACCUGUCACAGCAUAUGUUUAAAAGGCUAAAAAUAUAUGAAAAACGUCCACUUACUUCAAAAGAAAAUCACUUCCCUUUCCUUUUAAAUGGUAGUAAACAGCAAAGCAUGUAUUUAUGUGGUGUUCCAGACUGUAAUGACACAGUACGCAGAGGGUGCUGCGGUUCAAUCCAAUGAAAAUGUCACAUCUCCAAACCGCUCUGUACGAAUGAAGUGUGGGUGUAAUGUGAAUAAUAAUUAAGCUUGGCGUUCAUCUGGUUAAAGUCAGUGUCACCUAUUCCAGCUGGUACUGUAAGUCAUUUAAAAUGAAACUUUCAAAUCUAUUUAAUCAAGUUUGCUUUUUUCCUUCACUACUUUUGAAUAUUGCCUUUUUUCAUGUCUUAUUCUCUUUGUUAAACUCAAUUUUAAAGACGAUUUUGUUCAGAAAACUUUUUGAUAAACAGAAACCCAACUUUUUUGAAUUAAUACAAGACACCAGAGUAGUAUUGAUCAUUCUGUUGCCUUAUUGUUCCCAGUAAUUUCCAACAGGAUGCGUUUAAGAUGUGGACUUUUCAGACAUAAAACACAAAACAAGACAUGAUGGCACACCCAAAAUUCCUGUUGGCUUUUUAACUGCUGAUGAAACAGGCCUGAAUCAAUUGUGAUGCCUCCACACAAGGUUAGAAAGCAAACAGGUCCAAAGACAAGACUGAAUAUUUCUAUUUUUCCUGUUGCAGCAGUGUUAAAUGCUUGAAUCUGAUCAGUCAAAAUCUAGAAGCGAUGCUAAUCAAUUCUCGACAACAAAGACGCUGUCUUUAGUGUAUUGGUGCAAGGUCUUCUGGAGGGCUCGCCACUUUUGUUUCAGUGUUUUUCCACCUCUACAUCAGUCUCAGCCAAUCACUGCAAAACCUCGUUCUGAUAACUUCCACUCCCAUCCAGAUCAUUGCGUGGACUGAGAGGCUGCAGAGGCCAAAUAUUUGAUGGUUUUUGAAUUCAAAACCUAGUUUAAAAGUGGGGUAGGCAGGAUCUGAGGAAGUGCCAAUUUUUGGGAGAAAUCUUGAAUGUAAACACUAUCUCUCCCAACCAGUUUUCCCUUCAUCUCCUCUUUUCCCCUCCCGCUCUGCUCCAGCAAACCCCGCCCACAAUCAGACGCUCUUGCUUGCUCGUAUCAUUUCAAUUAAAUUCAGCUAUAAUGCAGAUAAAUACUUCAGGUAAUUACAAAUGGAGCCCAGUCAACGUGAAAGUAAAAAGCAUUGGUGCUACUGUAGAUGCCAACAGACUACCAGCAAACACAAUGUUUGCCGGACUUCUACAACUAGGAUAAAGUGACAUAGUCCAGGACCCGAGGUAAACAGUUUAGCGGUGCUACAACACGCAGCAGGUCUUGGCUUACUUUGUUUAAGCGGUUUACCUGUUCAGUUGAAAGGUUACAGGGUCCCUAAUAUCUAGAAUCGUCCCCCAUGUGCUUCAUUGAUGUUGACCCAGCUUUUAAGCUCUUGUCCGGUCUACCUCAGUUUUUAGCACCCGUUAUUCCGCCAGAGUCUCCGGUAUUUACCUCAUUUUCUUGCUUGUGUUGGCAGUUGUGGCCAAAGGAGGAUUCUGACAAUUUCCGUACUUUCUGGUUGGUUUCCACUAUCAGAUAUUGUAGCAUGCUAACUUUGUUUCGGCUCAUUAAGCGUGCCUCACAACCAAUCAGCACUCAGAAGCCUCACAACCAAUCAGGUUGGGGGAGGCGGAGAAUGGCUUUGUUUACGGUCAGAAAGAGCGGGCCGCUCAAAAUAUUUAAAAUGUUGACUACACAGACAUAACAGAACACAGCAAUAUCGUUAUAUUACCAAAUUUCAUCAGUAACUAAUAGCUAUUGACUGGUAUUAAAAGGUUUUUUUUUGUAUAUACGCCACAAAAAAAUGAUGGUUUAUUAACGAAAUCCUGCCUACCCCACCUUUAAAUAAUAAUUCUGUCUGCAAGAGCCUCCAAAAUGAAAGCUGGUUACAACUUGUAAGGUGGAAGAGCGAACAAGGUGGCUCUAAAUCUUUCAGUAUGUACAAAUUAAGCAGCCUUUUCUGCUCUUUUUACUUUUAUAGGAGCAUCUUCACCUUAACAGUCUUUAAAUCCGCUUGGCUACGGUUAUUAUAAUUAGCUCUUUAAUAACAUCUUUAGUCUGAAAAGAAGACCUGGCCUACAAUUACCUGUGAUCUUUUACAAGCUAACAACCCUAUCGAUUCUUGUUACUCAUUCACAUUUGCCCUUUUAUUUCAAUAAUAAUCAUGUUUUAACGGUCUAUUUGUGUUAUUGCUGUCUAUCUGAUUCGUUCUGUAACACCCUGGCGUUAGUAUUGAUCUAUAAUCAGAGCUGGGGGAGCUGUCGCUUGAUGCUUGUUUAAUCCAAACCAUAUGAUUCAGAUAUUUUUCUAUGUCAAAAAAAUUUUCAAGCAGGGAGGUAAGGUGUCAAAUUAAGAGCUAGGACACAAAAAAAAGAUGCAAAUAAGGGACUUGGAAGCCAUUACUAAAUGGAAAGCACCCUAUAUAAUCUAAUGCAGUACAUGUGUUAGGUUGAUUUGCAUCUGAUUCCUUAAGCAGCGGUACACUGAGCCCACGGGGUGGCUAUAAUUAACAGCCAAAAGCACAACAGUGGUGUGUAAGCUUGUGGUUCAAUAAUACAGUCAAUAAUCUUGCCAGAGGUUUAAUUCCCAAGUUCAGGACAUGCAAGCAUAAUGCCAACUGCAUACUAAGGAGAAGAUAUUGUGUAAAUACGUGUAUGAAAAUACAAAGUGAUAGACUGUUAAGACCUUUGACAUUUCAGGUUCUUUUGAGAUGGGGAGGGAAAUGAGAAGGAGGGUGGCUGGUGGCAUUUAGGGAACAAGACCACAGACAAACGAGUCAAUCCGGUUGCUGCAGUAAUAUGCGUCAUCGACAUGGAUUAAAAGUAAACUACUCAGCGGGGGAGAACCUGAGCCAUUACUGUAAUGAUGAAAGGCAGCAGAGAGCUGGCUUGUCAGUGAGGGAGAGUGUGCACUUUUUACCUCCUGACUUCAUUAAAAGGAGAUUCACCAGGCUUAGCCUCGGAGACCACUGCUGCACAGAGAAAGGUGGGAAAAGGGUGGUAGGAGUGGGAGGGACUCUGCAGUGCAUGUUGCUUUACACUCAUCAUGUCUCGAUUCGCAUCCAUCUGUGCAUGUCUCCUUGCAUUUCUUGUCUCGGCUGUUUAUUAUGCAGUGGCCUCUCAAUCCCCUCACCUCGCUGGUCAAAGAUGAAAGAGGUCUGUUCUUCUGAUUAGAGCUUCCAGGCACGAGAUGUUCCUUAUCAGUUACUCCACACGGCCUUGGGAUUAGCAUUGAUAACUGAUGAGUGAAACAACAUUUUUUAGACUUUUAAUUAGUGCCAUCUACUCAGCAAAAGCUAAGGUGUGUCAAGGUCGCCUUUAAGCCAGAAAACUAAUUCCCUGUGUACAGAUAACAAAGAGGGAGGCGGUGUAACAUCAUGACUUCGUCUACUAUUUAGCACAUGGACAAGCUGCCCGGACAGUUUUUAGGUCUUCUUUUUGGGUCAUUAAAAGAUGUACCCAAACAUUAACAAUAAUAUCCUCUCUAAUAUGGCAGCCCCCAAGACACAGUUUGUAGUCCUUUUAUAGUUUACACUGUUUACAGGCUGUUUUAUUCUGAAGAAACCAGCAGUUGUUCAGUUCAAGCCUUCAUCGUUAAAAUGGGAGACCCCAGGGCACCGUUUUGGGUCCUUUCAGGUUUACACUGUUUACAAGCUGUAUCAUUCUUAAAAACUACCAACUGUUCAGUUCAAGUGUACGCUAAUAUGGGGCACAUUUUUGGUCCCUGUAACUUUGCACUUUUUACAGGCUAAAUUUGUCUUUAAAAUCCAUAAAACUUGUUCAGUACAAGCAAAAGUAAGUGAGGGAGAAGAAAAGUGUUCUCUAUCCAUUUUUAAUACGCUGAGGUACAUAUUAAAAAAUGCAGCAUUAUUACUGACAAUGACAAUUAAAAUAUAAUGAUUUUUUUAUGCCAGUUUUAAGGUUUCAUUUGAGAUCUGUUAUUUACAGUUUACUUAAAUCCUUGACAUCCUUUGUAAUCCAUUCAUGAUCCUUACUACUUUUGGGAUGGACAGCCUGGUUAUUUGUAAAUGUAACAAGUAAAUUAGUAGAAAAAGAUCGGUUAAGGCAAACGCAGAGGGGGGGAAACACUUAAAGGCAUGGUUGACGAUCUGAGGAGCAGUUGAAAAAAACUGAGACAUUGAGGCAGAUUUGAAAAAAGCGUCCCACCCCCCCACCCCCCACACACACACACAAACCUCUCCUCUCUGUCGCCAUGAUAACUCCCCCUUAAACCUGUAUCACCCUCCUCACAACACACCCCCUCUGGCAAAGCAAGAAGUCGGCCAGCAGAAGAUCCUUCGCUAGCUUCAAAUAGGAUUCACCAUAUCGGAUUGCUAGUGACUAGCGGCGGUAAAAGCAAGCUCUGCUAGCGAGCACAGACUGCAGCUGCCUGGACAGCUACCAUGUUGACAUUGCAGAGACUAAUAAGAGUUAUUUAUGUAACAUGUGCCACAAUAAAAGGCAAACAUUACCUGUUCAACAAAAACUCUCCUGUCUCUGCGUCUGUUUUCAGGCCCAAAUCCUAGCGAAGCGAAGAGUUAGAUUCCUUGCUUGGUCACAUUUCCUCUUUGACUCCGCCCUUUCCUUUGUAGGCUUGCGUUUUCCUCCCACUUUUGGCGGUGGGGCAAGCAGAAGUGUGUUUUUUUGUUUUUUUUUGUUUGUUUUUUUGUUUUUGUUUUUUUGCGUCCUUCUCUGUCACAGCUCCUGUAGAUAAGCUGCUACGCUACUUUUAGCCGCUAAGAGCUCCGAUAAGGGCUGGGAGAGUGUAUUUGAGAGGGGUGUGUCAAAUACAGCGAGGUGAUUGGAUGGAGAGGUGGAGCAGGAGAUUGACCAAUGGGAGCUGUCCGGAACAGUUGGCUCCCAUUGGUCAAUGUUUUUGCAGCCCUGCACCUGCUUGGCUGAACAGAUUUUUUCCAUUCCUCUUUCUCUUCACUUUGUGGAGAUCGCACUAUAGGCCCAUGAUCGCCAUGUAAAUGAGGUUCAUAAUAAUUACCAAUCUUUCGAAUCGUCAACCAUGCCUUUAAGCAUUUAAGUGAACCACACAAAUAUUCAGAAUCUAGAAGUAGGAAUCAGUUAUUUUCACUAAAUACAGUGGUUUUUGCAAUUCCAGAGUAAAAAUGCAAGAGAGCCCCUUGUGUGGUGAAAGACUUUUAUUUUUUAUUGAAGUUUCAUAAAAAAAAUCAUUUUUCAGGUAUUUACAUGUAAAACACCUGCUUUUAUUCAAUUUUCACUUACUUUUGAGGCCGUGGAGGGCAAGCUUGUUCACCAAAGCUGUCUUGGGGAAAGUGGUAACUGGUGUGUUAAUGUCGGCAAUGUGACAUUAAUGUUCGUUGUGCUGUGGCCUGUCUAAACUCGUGCUAUGUGCUGCUGUGCAUGGGAGACCAAACUAGUCUCUGGGUGAAAUGCAGUUAUUAAAAAGUCACCGUUAAGUACUACAGAGUGUAACAGCAACAUCAACUUCUAGAUGCAGCGGCUAGAAAUCACAGGGAAGGAGAAGUGGAGGGGACUUAAGGGGAGGGAAAGAGGAGGAAUAAAGGAAAGAAAGUGAGAUGAUUACCUUACCUUGAAUGAACUUCCUCUGCACUUAAUCCAAUUACAGGCAAUUAAUCAUUCAGCUGAUACUGGCGAAGUCCCAGGCUGGCAAAGUUACUGAUAGUUGACAGUUCAUCAAGAUGGAGAGUUUUUUAUAGCUGCUGGUUCCACAUUAGCAUGAGAUAAGUUAAUCUUUUGGCAAUCCCAGUGGUCCCGGUGGUCCUCUGAUAGCGGGGGAAACGGCUUUCUUCUUCCACGAGCAAACGCUAAUUAGCAUUACACAUUCAACCAGUGAAUUAGCAUGGACAACACUUAAAGCGCAUCAAGGCACGCGUUGUUAUUGAUAUCAUGGCGAGGUAUUUGAAGGAUUGUUUUUUGCAGUUUGUACAUAUGAAAAAUUGAUUUGACUAAAUUAGGUGGGUGAGUAUACAGCACUUUACAGACAGCUCUUGUCUUCCCUUGGCUCUUAUCUGGUGUCCUCAGAUGUAAUCUCGAUGGAGAGCUGACAGGCUGGAUGGCUAAUUUCCUGACUGUGAAGCCUCAGUAUGCCCAUGUGGAAGGCACACUGUCAGAGUAGUUCCAUCACUGGCCACCCCGCGGGGCAGUGCGCUUGCAUCUUGAAUCUGGUUUGGGAAUGCAAGGUUCGGCUAAAUUUGCUACAUGUAAACAACUCAGUGGCCUGACUUGGGAUAUGCCCUCUUUAAAAGCAGUUGUUAUUCACAUGUGCGCCGCUCUCUCUGUCCCCCUUUAUGCCUGACUUGGUCAGCGCAGUGAUUCAGCAGCCCGCAGUCUUCUGCUUUCACCAUUUUCCUGACUGACCUUGACACAGCUGCCUCCGAUUUUAAAUAUUAGUUUUUCGUUUUGAAAUUCUGACAUCCUCUCUGGCUCAUACAUGUAAUGUACUGAGUUAAUAAACCAUAUCAAAUAAGGACUGUACUUUAUCUAACUUCUCCGACACACUCUUGACAAGAAGCUCCAAAAGAGAGCACAACAUUUCUUCAAGGCAGGAGGAAUAUCUUCUGUAACCAUAAUCAUUAAUAUUCAUUGCUGUAAUAGGGUAGCUCCAUGAGAGUUUCUCUUAUUUGUGUCUCAAGUUGAAGUUUUACUAAACUGUCAAACUGCCAUACUCCCUCCCUACAAUUCUUUAGCAGGAGAGAGACAGAAAGUAGAUGAGAGCUGCGUUUUUAUAUUGAACUGUCACUUCUUAGGAAUAGAAUUUCCCUCUGUAAAAGUAAUACUGCAAUUGACUGUAUCUGGAAUGGACAGCGUGCCUCCAUUUACUCAAAUGCAUUAAAAGUUCCUGAUAAGCUUUGAUAUAAAAUUUCAUCCACUCUGUUUUUAAUCAAGCAAACUGCCUUCCUUUCUGGGUGAUGGGAGGAGAGAGGAUUGAGGAGGAAAGUCAGGAAACACACAAGGAUACUUUCGCGCAGAAUUCAUCGAAGUCUUCACUAAAGUCGUCUUCUGUUUGUUUUUUUUUUGUUUUUUUAAUCUGUUGCCAACAACAGUUCGCUAGAAAUUGGUAGAACAUCUCUCCCAGUUGCAUCUUGGUUUAUCAAAUGUGAUGUUUUAUUUCAAAAGAUGUUCAUAACUGUUAGGCUAAUGGCUAGCUGUUAGCCAUUAGCUAACAGCUUACUUAGCAUGCUAAUAAUGCCAACAUCCCUGGAUUUUCUUUGUCAUGUGUAGGGCUUAAGGUCCUUUCACACCAGGAGCAUUUUUUUGUAUGAUUAUUUUUGACGUCAAUGACCUGUCAAUACAAGUGUUCACAUCAGUGAUGUUUACCCGUUCUGCGAUAUUGCGGCAUUUGUUUUUUUGUAUCACAGUCGAAUUGUCUAAAGUUUCGCAUACUGUGUGUCCACUUCUGACCAAUCAGAUUGUGUGUUGUUGCUACGUUAGAUUCACCGGUAUAUCCAACAUGGCCGACCGGCUGAUUGUUUACGCAUCGGAGAACAGAGUGCUUUUUGAUAAAAAUUACAAAUAGUCAUAGCGUCGGAUUUCACAUAUGACGAUGGUUUGUGUGCUUUAACAGUUUGCUAAACCUCUUUGUUUUAACUUUCAUCUGCGCUAAGUAACUUUAGCUUGUAAGCUAACCUGUUCAGAUACAACAUACCAUAUGUAUUUUCACUGUCUCAAACUCAAUCGCGUUGCUGUCACAGCACCAUUAGGUCUCUGUUGUUACCUUACGUUUAUGGAUUAUAGUUUAAUGUGCUUAUCUGGUACUGGCCCCGACUCGUCAAAAUUUGCCUCCGAAUACUUAGUAAUUUCGCAUCGUAUUUUUGCGUCGUUCCCAGAUUAAAGGACCUUUAAUCUAGCUGAAACUGGCCUGAAUGUUCUGUACAUGCCCCAGCGUUUGCACAGCGGGUUCGGAGUUAGUGGUAGAACAGCAUAAAGCGUUGCUAGGAAACUGGGUAGUAAAAAUAAUCUUGACAGAAAAACCUAAACUUUCCGAACAAAAGGUGCAGUGCUGUAAAAGUGAGGUUAUUUAACCCUUUACUUACAUGUGUCAUCAUCUGCCGGUUCAUCGCCACCUACAGUUGCAGAGGUGGAAAUGCCUCUGUCUAUAAAUGAAGUCUUGCCUACAUGUAGACAUACUGACUGCUAAGACUUUGAGAGUAUAACUUUGUAGGCUGCUUAGAUACAAACCAGUGUAUUGCAAAUACAGUUUAACCUCACUAUGACACUGGUAGAGAUGCAAUACGUUUGCAUAGCUUGCUGUUUUAGCCCAAAGGUUUAUAUAUCAGCGAGUUUGAGCACGUACUGGUGAUCCACAUGAAACAGAGAAAGAGCUGUAGGCUUGUGCAGAAACAUAUAUGUGCAGCGAGCACGUUCGGGCUGCAGGCGAGAGUCUGAGAUGGCUCUUUGAUUAAAAAUAAUGUAAAAAUGAAAAUAUGUUUACAUCUGCAGGGUUUUAUCUUAGCCGGGAAAACUACACCAUCGGCAUGUGGAGCCGGCUGAAUCUGCUCCAAGAGUGGCGUUAAGCAUUAUUUACCAGUCGGAGAAAACAGCAGGGCGAUAAAUUAUUUCGCAGGCUUGUUAGGCGGUUGAACUCUGUGCAGAUCUGUUUUGUGGGCUAAAAGACGGCGUGAACUUCUUAAUUUUCUACUUCUAUAACCCGAUAGUAUGAUGUUUAAAAAACCUGGAUCAGUGCAUGUAUUUUUAAUGUAAAAAACUGCAAAAAUACACCCUACUUCUCUUAUUUUAAUAGAUUUAUCAAUUAGUCAUUACUAUUUAUCACACUGCAGUAAAAUAAUGCACUUUGACAGUGUUUAUACAGCUUAAUAUUUGUUGUUAUACUUGACAAUCUAACAUGGCAGGUCAAAUAAGGGUAAUUAUUUCUGACAGCCUCGUCAAUCAACCAUCUUUUCUUAACCUCAGCUGCCUUCUACCCAGCAGAUGUGCAUACUCCAAUCCAGCACUAAAAUAACUUUUAUUCUAAGUAGAAAUAGAUGCCAAUGUGAGUGUUGCCUCCUGUCUGCUUUUCAGCCCCGUUCAUACAUAUUUUAAUACCUGUGUGCGUGAACAUCUGCUCACAAAUUGUGAUUUUGCUGAAUGGAGCACAAACGCAGAUAGAUUAACUUUAGGAAACAACUGCAGAAUCUCUUUCGUUGGUAUUUUUCAUGGCUUAGCUGGAGUGUAAGAAACAGAUUUAUGUUUUUUUUUUGAGGGGAAAGUUUUGUAAAUUGCUUAUUAUCAAGCCGCAAACAGGAGUUUCUGCUCAUCUGAAGCGUUCAGUGUUGUUUGUUUAAUACAGUCGUAGUUAUAAAACCGUGUGCCAAAGGGUGAGCAGCUUGAUAUUCCACAGAGGACGUCACACGAUCAAGGAGUUCGUCCGUGCAGCAUGCCUGUGGAGCGAGAGCAAAGUCAGAGAGCUCAAAGGCACAAGGUUUGCCAACGGGUACAUGGCGGCUGUAUGUACUAUUCUGUAUCUGCGUGUCCUUGAUUUUAUAACAAGCCGGUUUGAGUCUUCAAAUUAUUCAUGGCUUGUGGGUGGACCUCGUUAUUGACAUUGUUCACAAUGCAAAUCAAUGGAGCUCAAGCGCUGUGAGGACAGGGACGAAUGUGGAACCCUAACACAUGCUUUUCUAUUAGUAAAGCUGCUAAACCAGCAUGUGCAGGUAUAUACUGUACUGUGCAUCACAAUGAUUCUCCAGCAUAUGGCCCUAACCAUAACCAUACAGGCCCUAUGCAUGUAUCUCUUCCAAUUUUUUCAUUAAUCAUUUUGGCGAAAUAUCUGAAACAACUGCUCCGCCAGCGGCAACACCAGGUUGUAUGUUCCCAGGUUUCUCUCCAGUCAUAGCUUGAGCUAAAACAGACAUGAAAAACCAGAUGAUUGAUUGACGGACUGACUGAUAAGAUACAACACAACCUGCCUAGGGCUAAACCGUCUGAAGCGUGUUGCUUUUUUAAAGCGAAAAAAAGCACUCAACCUCCUGAUGGAUUGAUGCACUUGUGGUGUUUGUAUCACUUUUUUGUCAGUUUGACUGAAGAAACAGAGCUCACAGUCAUCUUCUGAUGAGUGUCAGUGAGUGUAAGUUGGACUACCAGCAUCUCCUCUCUAAGAAAAGAUGAGAUGAUGUGGGAUAAAAGCAGAAUUUGAUGGUUUGCGAAUAUAAAUCUCGAAUUUAGAGGGACAGAGGAGACCAGUUUCUGGAGUUCUGAGGUUGAAAUGUUGUCCCAGUUUUGCCCAGUAUACUCCUUAAGAACUCCAGUGAGUCAACAGUUUCAUCAUGUGCCAAAUAUUUUAAACAGGUGACAAGUUAACACAGCAGGCAGGCCAUUUAAGCACUUGGGGCCUCAUUUGUCAUCCGUGUGUAGAAAAGCUUCUAAAUUCUGGCGUAGGAAUGAAAUUUAGAUUGUGCGUAGGUCCAAAAAAAUCCACAUUUAUCUAACAUGCGGACACCAGUCGUACGCACACUGGUAAGUAAUCGACGAUGAUAAAUCCCACCUGUUCUUUACCUCCGCCAAGGAGGUUAUGUUUUCGGUAGUGUUGGUUCGUUUGUUUGUUUGUCUGUUAGCAACUUUACGGAGAAAGUAACAGACGGAUUGACCUGAAAUGUUCACCAGAGGUGCGUCUCAGCCCCAGGAGGAUCCCAUUAAAUUUUGGUGGUGAUCCGGACAAAAUUCUGUACACUGUGAUCCAGAAUACACAAAAAUAAGGGUGUUGUUGGGAAUUUUCAAUGCUGAAAGAUAACCAAUGGGCGGCACAGUGGUGUAGAUAGGCGGCACAGUGGUGUAGUGGUUAGCACUGUCGCCUCACAACCAGAAGGUCCUCAGUUUGAAUCCGGGUCAGGGCAUUUCUUGUUUUAGGAACAUUAUGAACAGUGAACAUACCAGUUUAAACACAAAUAAAAGUUAAUAAAAGACACGUAACAGUAAAAGUUUUGGUGUGAAUCACAAUAUAAGGGGGGACAUGAGCUGCUUGGCGGAGGUCUGCGCUCUCCGAGUGCUUUUCUAGUUACUACUGUGCUCGUGCAUGGUUACGGUCAUGUGCAUUCAGAAACGCCUCCAAUUGAUCAUAUAUGGUAUCAACAAUCCCUUUAAAAAUGUGUGAAUGGAUUUUUUCCCCCUCACCGAAAUCAUGGAAGUGCACACUCACAGAGCUGUUCUGCAGAAUGAAUGAGUCGUGCAUUCCUCCAGACAAUAUUUAAUAGAUACAUGUGUGCAUCGCAGAUUAUUUGUGCGUUGAUUGAAUGAAUUCUUUUCCUGUUGACAAAACUGACUUUAUUGUGUAAAAGUGCUUUUAUUGCGAUCCAUGGCUCCAAUUAUGUUUGGGAAUACGUUGGUGACGUGUUUAUGGGUACUGGAUGUAAGCUGAGGCCAGAGAAAUUAUUGCAUCCAACUCUGCCGGCAUGAUUCUGCUUAGCGUUGGCUGCUAAAAGCCGUAUAUGUCUCCAAUCUCACGCUUAAAUGUUCCAGUGGCCAAAAAUCCCAGGGUGGACAGGAGCUGGUUGUGCACUGGGAUGGCUUUGGUGCGUUUUGUCUCUCUCCAACAGGGGUUGUAAAUCACGGCAUAAAUCCAUUACAAUGUUUUUGGGGAGGCGGUAACUGCUGAGAAGCCACACUGUGUUCUCACUGAGCAGAUCAGCACGGUCUUUGAAAACUAGUCUUCCAAUAGCGCAAAAUAAGCCAUGAUACUUGUAUUUGUACUUGUAAGACUUCUUUGAGGUUGUCCUGUCACAGUUGAUUUUAUAGUUUGUCACACCAAUCAUUCAAAAUGUCUGCGAAAUAACUGACAAAUUUUGUACUGAGGCAAGGGAGAACGUGUGAAGUUUGAGAUUGCUGAAUGCUGUGACUCCUUUAAUGGGUUCUAUUUGUAGUUUCACUGUUCUACCCCUAGAUUUUGUGUAUAAGUAUGGUCAGAGUUGUGUUUAAAUUUACGCACGUUCCUAAGCACAAGCACAGGUUGGUAAAUGCCGUACUUUGCGUGGGAAUGUUCAUACGCAUGGUCUAUAAAUGAGGCCCCUGGACUCUUCUACUCAGGAGCCAUACUGUUGUGAUGAGUGUAGGUGUGGUUUUAAAUCAUCUUACAGAAAUACACAAAAGGGCAUUUUCUAGAUGUCAUCAUGAAACAUAGUCAAGACAAAAACAAAUAACUAGCAUAGAUCAGCUCUCUAGAGAUGACUCAGCACUUUCAGAAACUAAAAUUCUUAAUAUACCGUAACUGUCCCCACACACCAAGCGCGAGUAAAAUCAUUCGCGCGAAUGAAUUACAUGCUAAGUCAAUGCAAUGACGCGAUUAGACACUCCUACUACUCUGGCGGCGCGAAAAUGUCUCAACUUGAGCGGAUAUUCGCAUCACGAUAACGAAUCAGCAAGAGGGUUGCAAGUGAAAAGAGACGGUUGUUCACUGGUAUCUAAAACGGUAUCUUUCAAUUACCCGAACUGGAAUAAAAAGGAGCUCGCCUGGAGGGAGGCAAGUGAGUGAGGAGGUCGAGUUACCUGGUAAAUUAUGAAAAAAAAAAGAAUUUGUCUAUCACUUGAUCCCGCUGGUUCAAUUGGCAGAGAUUACUGCUGAAAUUACUGUUGACGCGCAAAUGAAGCAAGUAAAUACUAUUCAUUCGCGCGUCUAGAUUCAUGCGACUUAAGCGAGUAGAUGAUUUUACUCGCGCGUCAUAAAUCUAAAUGCAAAAUUAGAGCAUGUGUCUCUUUGGGUUAAUAAUUAGUUAAACAUUUGUCAUUUUAAAGAUUUCUUUUAACUGUUUACUCUGAGAUCCGCAGAAAUCAUACUUCAAAAUAAAAGCAAAAUGUUAAAAUAUAGCAACCUCAAUGCAAGACAGAAAAACAUCAAAAUAAAAGCAUGCCAAACAAUUGUGUUAUGAGGCAAUAUCUUGUCUUGCCGAUGUCUUGCAUGAAGAUAAAUGAGCUAUGCGGUCCCUUUCUUCUUUAGAUUGAAGGACGUGGGGUCCAGGGUUUUCAUCCUUGGAACUACAGGGCAGCUUUCCACUCUGCUACAUCUUAAAUUGGCUUUGUUUCAACAUACCAAAUAACAAAAUGCUUACUUUUCUCACUCAAGAGGAUUAAACUGUCUUUGAAAGACUUGCUCCGUCAAAGAAACAUCCUUCAUCUGCUUGUUUUUGCAUCGAGUAUGAGCUUUAAAAGGGUUAGUGCACUCUUUUUACACAGCAGAAAUCCAUUCCUACUUCCUGCAGUCGAUAGUUUUAUUGAAAUAUGAGUGUGCAUCAACCUUUGGAAGACUAAAAACUGUUUUAGUUCAGAUGCACGAGCCGGUAGGAAAGAAAAAUCCUCCUCAAGUGUUCGCUUUUCCUGUUUUCAUUUUUUCAUGUUUCAGUUUCACAAAAAGCAAUGAGGUGUUCUGUUGCCGUCUGCAACCCGUGAGAACAACCUCGCGAAGGGGAAUAAAAAGCCGCUGGUUCACGGAGGUUUACCCUCAAGCUCACAGCAGGGACACUAAUGGCCUCAAGACCUCUCUGGUCUGUAUCUCCUUCUGUCUGUUACCAUGCAUCUCAAUCUUUUUCCAGGAACGCUGCCUCCGUAUCACGCCUGCACACUUUUUUUUUCUUCUUUUUUUUUUUUUUUUCCCACACACAUCAUCUUUUACACAAACCUCCACUCCGGCUACAUCAUCUGCUUUUCCUCCCGGAGACGUCGUUCAUCAUCCUCCUCUGUUUCCUCAAGCUGAGUUUUCAACUUAUCUGCCAGCCGAGCUGAUGCUGAGCAGCUCAUUUCUCAGCUGGAGUGAUAACUAUCUUUUGCAUGCCUGGCACAAGCAGACCUGAAAACUCUCUCUGUGUCAAUCCUCCGGGGCCAUCGGGUAGAAUAUUGAUUGGAAACUUUACUUGAUUAAUUUGGUCGGAGCCGUUACUAGAAGAGUGCUGAGCUUGUUGCAGUUUGUCGUCACCCGAGUUGUGUCCACAUUUACCCGCACACACACACACACAAACACACUCGGACUCAGAGCUCUGUCCAAAAUGCUAAGCUCCAUGACAACAAAUUGUUAUGUAGGAUUUGGAUUUGGAUUCUCCUGAGCUUACACAACUGCAGAGCUGGCUCAGACCAAAACACUGUGAUUCGCUUUGCCUCAAAGACGGUCUUUGCAGGUUUUGCUCGGUCCUUCGUUAGGACAGAAUGUCUCCACGUUGUGUCAGUCUUGGACUUUCCAAUUUAACCUUAGACUUCAAAUGUAAGGAGUCCACCUGGAAGUGCAAAAGAAUGUAUAAAUUAGUGCGAUAUGAUUUGCAAUACCAUUAAUCACAGCUGGUGCAUGUAUAGCGGGGAGCUCCCUGCCUGUUACCCUUAACAACCAACUAAGUGUAAGUAAGUUGCAAUCGUCUGAAUUAGGGCCCGACCGAUUUAUCGACGAGCUGAAUAAAUCGGCCAGUUUUAGCCUGUUUGAGACUAAUUGGUAAUCGGCCAAAACUCGUCGAUUUUCGCCGAUAUUUUCAGAAAUAAAAUGGGGAAACUUAUCCUGUAGAUGGCGCAGCGACCUCAUGGCAAUCUUCAUCCAUUAACUACCUCACAGCACAGUGGAGUGACGGAUCUGUAGCAGGCAGCUCAGGGACGCACGGAGGAGAGUGGUCCACCUCAACGGUAAAUAAACCAGUUUGUGAAAUACACAAUAAGUCAACAAGUUUCAGUUCAACCCACUUCACAGUGUUCCCAGCUGUGCUGGUCUCGGUCACGCCGAGUUAACGGUGAAGCACCAUGUAAUAUGCAAGCUAAAGUUAGAGUUAGCCACCUGCUAUUAGCCUUGCUAAACUGUUAGCCAUGCCAGUAACGGAAGAAUAAACAACAGUACACAUUACGUGAUCGAGCUACUUCUCUUACUGAGGCAGCUGCAUGUCACUGGAAAUGUGUCACGCAGAGGCACCGAUUCGUCGGCAGUGGGGUUGAAAAUACUUCUCUGGUCCGAGUUUGAUCAGUCGGUCUUCCUGUCGGUGUGAAGAGCAGUAAUCUACAGUAUACCUAUAGUAUAUAGUAUACUUAAGAUAUCUACAGUAUAUAUAUAUUUUUCAUAACUUAAAUUUAAAAAAAAAAAUCAGCCGAUUAAUCCAAUCCCCCCCCCCCCCCUAAUAAUUGGUAUCGGCAUCAGCCCCCAAAAAUUCUGUUUCGGUUGGGCCCCUGUCUGAAUCCCUCAAACUCUCCCUAUCCGAUAACAAGUGAUGAAGAAAAGCAGCAAAUCCCUCCACGGAAGAAGCUGGAAGCUACGGUUUGAUGUGCCAUUUUUUAACACUGAGCACCUGCCCCUCUUAAAGGUCUCUGCACAGGCCUGAAUCACAGAGCUCCAACCUGGCAACCAUUCAAAAUAAAAUAUUUAACAAGCUGGAAAAAAAACUACAUGAUACAAAUGGGGGUUUUAAUUAUGCACAAGACUGUGAAAACAUAAUCAAUACAGUGUAAAAGACUGAGCAGAAUUGGCCUUAGUUCAAGUAUUUGGAGACUCCAUGAAGCUCGUUUGUUGACAGAAUUUGAAAUCUAAUUCAGUGUUGAGUGCUUAAUUGCAUGUAUGAAUGUAAUCCACACAAACAAAAGACCUGCCAUAACAAACAUCCUGUAGAGAAGACCUUGGGAUAUGUGAUGUUCCAGCAGAGCACAGUCAUGUCUCUUACUUUUCCUGGUGAAUAAUUCAUAGUUGCACUCUCCGGACAUGGGCUUGGCUGAAUAUUUCAUGCAACUUAUUUGUCCCCUGUAAUAGGUUUGACUCCAGUCUGGCUCUGGCGUCCUCGAAGGGAAGCCUCGCCAAUUGGACAGCUAACCUUUCUCUGCCCAGAGUGUAAAAACUCAGGCCACAGAAGGAAUGAGAGGUCUUAUUUCGUUUGCAGUGUGUGAAAUACAAUGUGUAGUGCCGCUCAUGCCUAACAAACCGCAGUGGGAUACCGCUGCGUGGCGUGUUGCUUCAGUCUCUCUUUUUUUUUCUGUUUUUUUUUUUUUUUUUUAUGCGAGAGCCCGCAAUUAUGUUCUGUUGCAAGCUGUGCAGUCAAUGUCACACAGAAUGGCCUCCACGUUUAAUCCAUCAGACACAAAUUGGGGUAGAUUCCUGGACGCUUUUGAACCAAAUUGAAAGGCUUUGCUGUGAAGCUGGUGCGGAAACAGAGUGGGCGGGGGGGGGGGGGCCUGCCGUAAUCAAACACUGGUUAACAGACCAGAUUUUUCAACUUGUAUGAAUGACUGCGGGUUUAAGCAGACAAUAUACAUACAAAUCAGGCUAUUUAGCAUGGCCAUCUAGAGGGAAAUGUGAGUAUGCUGUUGGAGGUAAUCCAUAGACUGUAUAUACUAUGUACAACUUGGUUCCACCUUCCGCCAGUAUAUGGAUUUGAAGCCGAAAAGCUCUUGGUAAGAGCGUUUUUUUCUCCACUUCCUUAAACCAGCAUUGCGCAGUAGCAUUGUGCACAUUCGGUGGGAGAGUUGCUGUGAUGACGCUCAGCUCAAACAGUGUAUUCCCCAGGUGAGCUAUGCAAUCUUCGUACACCCAUAGGCUGUAUCAAGUGUCAAUCAUAGAAAACAUGAACCCCCUAAUAACUUUUAAAAAUGGCACUGUACAGAAAAAAGAGGACUUGAGCACAAAACAGUUUUACAUAACUACAUGUCAACAUCGUAACCAGGGAGGAGAAAAAAUAUAUUCUGUGUGAUAAAUUUCUAAAGUUUGUCCACAGCUCCAUAGGGAUUGCUGGAGGAGGCGGGGUUUAUGACCUAUACUGCAGCCCGUCACCAGAGGGUGCUGUUCUCAGAGUGGCUUCACCCAGCGAGGAGGCAGACGCUGUCUGUUCUACAUACAGUCUAUGAGGUAAUCCAAUAAUGUUUCAACCUAACCAACAAAGUUAGUAACUAAAAUCAUAUCUUGUGCGCACAAGAUAGUUAGCUAAUGGCACAAGUUUGAAGUAAUUAUUCAGAAGGAUAACAGAAACCAAUAGAUAACUGUGAGAAUGAGUCAAUACCUUAACCAACAAAAUCUUACUACACAUGCACAAGAUAUUACAUUGAUGUUGUGCACUCAAGAUAAACUUGUAAAAUAAAAUGUGCACUGUAUUAUUUUUGUGUAAUUUUAAAAUAUUCUUCCAACAAGUUGUGUGCAAGAUGCUAAAUUAGGCACAUAAGAUAUUAACUUACUUACACAAGAUAAAUUAUCUUGUGCACAAAAGGGUCCUCACUUUUUUUUUUACAAGAAAAAUAUCUUGUGUUUGCAUGACCAAAACUUGUUUCCACAAAGUAAUGAUCUUGUUUUAUAGGAUACUCAAGCAUUUCUGAGCUUCUUCAUUUGUAAGCACAUGAUAAAAUUUUAGUUAAUAUCUUAAGAGCACAAGAGAUAAAGUCAUACUCACAAGAUAUCACAUUGAUGUUGCGUACAAACUUGAUCCUGCAAGAUCAUGUGUUUGCAAAAUACAAAGGAAAAAAUAUUGUCUUGCGCAAACAAGAUUCGUCAUUAAGUCAUACAAGGUUAUAGCUUGUUUCAAAAUAAAAUCUUGCACUCCCAUAAUUACUUGUAUCCAAAACCCAUGUGCAUUUAAGAUUGUUAUCUUGCCUGCACAAGAGAGCGAAUAACAUCAUGUGCACAAAAGGGAAAACUUAUGCAACGAGGUCAUUAUCUUGUGUGCACAAGAUACAUCAUUUUCUAUUCUGAACCUGUUUAGACAAAGAGGGGUCACCAAAACAAAUGUGAGCAUUACUGGAUAUCUUGUGUUUAAUAUUGAGUCUCACACACAAGAUUACAACGUAAUUUUGUGUAAUCAUGUUGGCUAUCUUUUCUCUAGACACCUAAAUAAUGGAAUAAUUUUCCCACUAAAGAUACAAACCUCUGAAAAAAAACUGUUUCGACUGUCAAAACAAACAAAAAUUUUCCAGCUCAAAACUCUGGAUUAUUCCUCAGAUCCUAAAAGAGAGCGAUAAAACCUCCAUGCUGGAAGACGAGGCUAUCUCAGGGCGGCAAACCAGACAUAAAAAAUUUUGCCAAUUUAGGAAAAACUAGAGCAUAAAUUUAGUAACAUGACCACUUAACAACCUUUCCAGAUGGUGAAACCUGAACGUGAACCCAAAAACAGUCCAUCAACAACUGACAAAGACGAACUGGACCGAUAAACCGAGCUUCACAGAGGAAUCACCAAGCAGCUUGAAGAGCUAAGAGCCCUUCAAACUCUUGGGUCCCAGUGAGCCUCGGCGUUCUUUUCGGAGGGUAUUCUGUGACAGCUUGACAGGCAGUGAGACAAUGCUGUGAGACGCAACAGCGCAUUGGCAAGAUCUUUUGAGACCUGCACCAUUGAAUCCUCGUAAUUUCCUUAUUUAGUUGUCCAAAAAUCAGACUGGUCUGGCACUCCACCAAAAUGAUAGCUUUGCCGUUCAACAGCCGGUCUAAAUCUGGCCUGAAAGUAUUUUAUGACUUAUGAAUGUAAUAAAACACCAACAUGAAUUCAUGCACCAGUCAUCAUUCCCUGAAAAACUCUGAGAACAAUAGCUUAAUUGCACUUUUGACAAAUGACUAUAUCUCAUUGUCGAGAAAACUAAAGGAAAAGUUAAAUAUAUUCUGUCAUUUCAGCUCUCAAACUGCAGCUGUAAUAAAGAGUCAAAAUGUGCAACCGCCUCAACUGAUCUCAGACUUUAAACCUAAAGUAUAAAUAGGUUUUUAUUAAGCAUAUCAAGUAUUCAAAAGGAGCCACACUGGGUGAACUUCAAAGACACAGCCAAAGAGAUGAUGUCUCUCCCCACCCGGCCUCCCAGACCUCAAUCCUAAGACAUUCACAUUUGGAGCACAGCAGCACAAGACAUCACAAACCCACUCACUAGCUAAUUUACAGCUCUGCCCAUGGGGUGCAAAAGCCCGAUUCACACAGCCAAAGCAGUCUCAAACAGGGUUAUUGGUGAAACAAGCUGGGUCCCAUAAUAAUGUUAUUUUACCCCUCAGUGUCUGGUAGUAAUGUGUUGUACAUAAUGUAUUUCCGUCUGUCACUGUCUGAUGAUGUGCGAUGUUGAAUUUCCCCCUUCAAUGUUCAGUGCUGACUCACUGUCGAAUGGGUGUGAAGUUGCAGAAACAUAGUGAAUGGGUUUGGGGGGUUUCCAAGAAAAUUACCCCAGACUUGAAUGUACCUUUCCUACUUUCACUGUAUUAACAGAAACUCUGAUAUUACCUAUAUAUGUUUUAAAAAAGCAUGCAUGUUUUUAUCUACUAUGCCUUCAAUGUUCCAGAAACAUAGUGAAUGGGUUUUGGGGUUUUCCAAGAAAGUCAGGGUGGAAGAGGAAAGUUGUGAAUGCAGAGGAAAAGACUUCUUAAACAUGAUGGUUAGUUUAUUAAAAAUGGCAUUGUGCAUUGUAGUGUUGUUUUGAGAGAGUGCAAAUCAAAGCAUGCGCAUGAUGAAGAGCUUGGUGUUGGUAUUGGGUUGGGGUUUUGGCCUGUACAGGGCUAAAGUAAAACAGAUGUGUGUGGAGGUAGCUGUGGUGGUGUCCACACCUUCUGGCAUCCCUGGAUCAACCCAGAACAGUAUCAUGGCAGAAAUAGACAAAAGAAAAUUUACCCCUGACCCGAAGGUACCUUUCCUACCUCCAUAUGUUUUAAAAAAGGAUGCAUGUUGUUAGCUCCUAUGCCUAGCUUGCUAUCUAGCUGAUGUGUUCUCCAGGUAGAAGGGAAGUAGGUGACAGACUUUAACCUUUGGAGGAGGUUUUACUUGGUCAAAGCAGUGGCUCAAACUGUGAUACUUUCCAGACUCCGUAAUGUUUGUGUAAGCGUACUUGGUACCAUUUAGUUGGGCUUUUUAGACCGAAAUAUGUCAUUUCUCUGAGGGAUGUUUUUUAAAAAACAAAACGCUUCUGUUUUGAUGAAAUCAAGGCUAAGUUUUUUUUCAUUCAGUGUUUUCAUUAUAGAGACAGCUGCUGUUGGGUGUCAUAAUGCCACUUCAGAAACCAAUGAGUGACGUCAGUGGGACUGUGUUCAUGUUUUAUUCAGCCUUUGGCACAAUCUCACAACACUGGAAAGAACAAAAAAGGGAAGGAACUCUAAAUGCUGUAGGGGACAAACCACAUUCAUCCAUCUUAUAAAGUGUGGGGGCUAACAAAAUCUCCCGGCAGGCACUACACCAGAGGCAUUGUGUUCCAGCACUCACAACAAGUGCUCCCAGCCACCAGAGAAAAAUGAAGAGAAAGGAAACAGUGUGCUACACCUUGAAUGUCAAGUUGCAGUUAUGUGCAGAUUUGGCUUUGAAGGCUUUGAACAAACAAGUUUGGGCAACAAGGUCAAACACACCGGGACGAGGAUUCUUAUUUUUGCAUGGAGUUUACCACAAGAUGUCACAGUUUUAUAAUGGUUUGUUCACAGCCUUGUUUCCUUCUCAUAAAAAUACCCUGCCGCUAUAACAUGACUCUAUUUACAUUUAUUUACACGUAACCUGCAAAUUUCUGUUUUUAUAUGAAAUGUGAAUCAACAAAGAAAGAACAUUUGGAAACAAAUCCAUUUUCCUCCGUCAAGGACUUUAUUUUAUUCUGGUCUCUUAGAAACUGACUCAUCAGGUGUUUUUGUUUUGAUUUAAUUUAUUCAUUUAUUCUGUUAAGUGCACUCCUAACUAUAUUUUCUUCAUUAUCCAUGUAUUUAUUUACCUAAUUUGUCCUCUAAUGGAGCUCCACAGCAAUCAGAGGGAGAGGGAAUGGAAAAAAAAAAAAAAGUGGCUGCACUUACCUCAAUAUGAGUAUGAAAAGAACAAAAAGUGACACACGCUCAGGGACAUUUUGCAAGUUUCUUUUAAAUCAGACCUUUGACCUGCUUUAAAUACCAAAUGAGUCUGGUAUGCAAAGUUUUUGAAAAUCAGUGUCAUUGACUGUUUUUCAGAUUUUCCUAAACAAUUUAAUUUGUCUGCCUUUCAAAUCAUUAAGAAAAUUCAACUUUUUCUUUCUUUCUUUUUUUGUCAAAGUGAAGAGAAGGAAAAAUCUACUAUGACAACUUUUUUUGAUUAAAUGUCAAUAUAGUGCCUCCUGGAUGCCCUUUUAAUGGAUGAAUGUAGAUUAAGUGCCCUCUGGAUACCUUUUAGUGGAUAAAAUGUUGAAAUUGUGCUUUUUGGAGGACCUUCCAGUGAACCAAAAAAAUGUAAACAAAGUGCACUCUAGAUGCCCUUGAAGCAGUGACAUUGAAACAAAGUACCCACUGGAUGCCCUGCAAUAAAUACAAGUAAACAUAGUGCUCUCUGGAUGCCCUUUAAGUGGAUACAAUUCAAUCAGUGCCUAUUAAAAUAUUUACAGUGGUUAAAAUAUCAUUUAGUGCUAUCCGGCUGCCAUUCCAGGAAGUUAAUGUAAACAAAGUCCCCACUGAGCAAAAAAAAAAAGUAAACAAAGUUCCUACUGGAUGCCUUUCAAGUGUAUAAAUGUAAACACAUUGUCCACUGGAUGCCCUUUAAUUUAACAAAUGUAAUCAAAGUACCGAUUGAAUGCCCUUAAAGUAAAUAACUGUGAACAAAGUGCCCCCUAGUUGGCCUUAAAGCGACGAAAUUGACCAAAGUAUCCACUGGAUGCCCUUCAAGAAAUACAUGUAAACAUAGUGCCCUCUAGAUGCCCUUCAAGUUGAUACAAUUUCACCAGUGCCCACUUAAAGUAUUUACAGUCGUUCAAAGGUCAUUUAGUGCUUUCUGGCUGCCAUUCCAGGAAGUUAAUGUAAACAAAGUCCCCACUGGAUACUCUUAAACCAAAAAAAAGAAAUAAAGUUCCUACUGGGUGCUGUACAAGUGUAUAAAUAUAAACACAGUGUCCACUGGAUGCCCUUUCACUAAACAAAUGUAAUCAAAGUACCGAUUAGAUGCCGAAUAACUGUAAACAAAGUGCCUCUUGUUGCCCUUAAAGUGAUGAAAUUGAAACAAAGUACCCACUGGAUGCCCUUCAAUAAAUACAUGUAAACAUAGUGCCCUCUGGAUGGCCUCCCAGUGGAUACAAUUGAUUAUUGUGCCCUGUCAAGGGGUUUAUUUAUCGAAUAUAACAUGAUAUAGUGCCUAAAACAUGUUAUACAUCCUUCAUUUCAAAUUCUUUUGCAUACAGCAACAUAAACUUUAACUUUAUGCCUAACUGAUGCAUUUCAGCAGCCUCUCACUACUAAGCUAAAUAAUAAAAAGAAGAUUUGGAAUUGACUCGCUUAUUGACCAGCUCAGUAAAAAGGUACUUUAAAGUGUCCCUGUGCAACAGAAUUCGGGAUUGCAAUAUUAACAAAGUUAAUACAGACAUCAACUGCUCAGUGCAACUGCUUUGGCCAUCUGGCAGAUGCAAAGACGACUGAUGAAAGUCUGUCUUGGUAGGAGGUCAGAGUUGAUGGAUGGGUUAAACAUAUGGCUCUCACUGCUCAGACAGCUGUUCCUGUACGAUUUGACAAAGUAUAAGUAGAAGACAACCCAGGGAAGACCACGGAUUGACAUCGGAGUGGGCGAUCAAAUGCCAAAGGGAUUUACUGAUGGUACAGUUUAUCUUCAUUUUCUUCUUAUGUCUCAGUCAUUCGCACAUCAGCAAUGGUGUACUUUUUCUGGAAAGAAGAAAAACCAAGAAAGCACACGGUAGUGCUGCUGUGUGUUGAGAGAUUAGAUCUAAAUAUUCUUGAAAUCAUAUGUGUACUCUAUGACAGUGUCUUAUAUUGAGAGGAUCUUGUCUUAACAAAGGUGAUAAGGUCUUUUGGCCCUCAGGUAGGACUGCAUUAAAUCAGACAUGACUCUAUAGUGGAAAUCACUGCUUGCAGUAUCAGCAAUGUAGAUUUUUAAUUAGUGCACUCAAAGAAAAAGAGAUUUAAUUGGCUGUUCGCUUUUUGCAAAGCCUCCCUGCAUUUAUUUUGUUCUUAUUUGAGAACAAACGCGGCACAACAGGCUUAGUCUUCGCUCACACAUUCAGAUUUCACUUUUACACACAGUGAACAGGGAAGGAGAUGAGAGGGAAAGUAAUCCCUUGAAACCCAUUUGAAAUGCAGGCCAAAACAACAGCCUUUUUGCAGAUAAAAGUCAGCUUGAUCCUCUCACAAACAUGACCCCAACCUUGAAUAUCUGAGCUCAUCCUGCAUGCUAUUGAUGGAUUCAAUUGAAAUGCUGCGCUGCAUCACAGCAGAGAAACUAUUUAUUUUUCACCCUUGAUAGGGGGAGCCAUUAUUGUGUUCCCUCCCAAGCUGAAACAACGGGGUUUAUUAUCAGCUGAUUCUGGCUGAAGCAUGCCUGUGCAUAUGUGUAGACACCCUGCACGCUCACCCUUCACGGAGCUUUAUCUGUGCACCAGUCCAGCCUAGUUCCCUUUCAUUAACAUCCUAAUUAACUUUUCAUGAAGUCCAUUUUCUCUUUGUUUAAUUAACUGACCAUCUCUCUGUUGGCCAACCCAAGCCAGACAUGCUGGGAAUAAGGUGGAGAAGAAGACCAAAACAAAACUUUUGAUUCACACUGGGCCCCAAAUGAAGCCUUCAGAUCUGAACCUGAAGUCACCAACUUUUAUAAUGCACUGACUUACAAACAUAGUUAAAGCGGUUAAGUUUUGCAGUCUCUGAAAGAAACAUUUAACAAAUUAUUUAUGGCAUUACAAUGGGAAGUCAGAUUUGUAGAUGCAAACUUUCGCUGCAUGCUCAAAAUGAUAAUUUAUACCUCCGCCUUGGAGGGAAAUGCAUGUGUCUGUGUUUGCUUAUCACAUUCUAUCACAUUCACCCAUUCAGUCAUGCAGACGAUUCCUGUCACAUACGCACCAGUAAUAGACUUAAAUCAUACAAGUGGAGACCUAUUAGAUUAACCUUUGUGAUCUAUUAUCACCCCUCUCUGUCUUAUCCGAAAUGCAAGUACAAUUUACCCCUGCGGCAGCCAUUAGAGCCACAAGCAGUGACCCUGUAUCCGUCUCCGGGAUGGGAGAGACCUUCAGUAGGCAGCAGUGUGUGGAAAUUAAAGGCCCCCCCCAUUUCCCUUCCCUUCCCUUCAUCCGUCCCCGUCUUUGUUAGCUAUGACGGUGUUUUUUAAUCAGAUAUAGCCGAUGGGAAAUACAGAUCCCCUUCACGCCAAUCCCCCCGCCUCGUCAUGAUGGCAGGCGUUGCCAUGGUAACACAGGGAGAGACGUCAGUACGGGGCAGGAGUUGCUGUAAUUGUGACUGAUCUUGGGGAGAUCUACGCGGGGGGAAGAGAGAGAGGCCGGGGCCUAAACCUCUGGCUGCAACCUGACCAACCUGCACAAUGAAAGCGGUUCAGAUUAACGGGGAGGAAAAAGAGACACAAUGCAAUCCAGUUACACUGAAGACAUGAAUAUGUACCUAUUAAUAGCUCUAUUUACGCAGCUGUAUCACCUAACUUCAUGUAGCAAGACUAAGUUUGUCUAAAUUCUUUGAGUUCUUCCUUAAAAAAAGAGUCAUGUACUACUUUAUUUAUUCUGUUUGUGACUAUAAAUCAGUAUUCAGGUCUCAAAACUGAACCCAUUUGUCAUUCUAGCAGCUUUUCCAUGCAUACUAUCACUUUUUCAAUCCAUCAGACUCGAUUUGGAACAACUAUUUGACACGAGCACUGUCAGCUGUUAAAGUAUAUUGUGCAUAAAAGAGGCCAUCUUUUUACAGAGGUUCAGCUGACACUGACUGGCACCUUAUGAUGUCCCCAGUGUCUGAGUUGACUCCAUAUCUUCAAGAGUGGCAUUAAAAGAAGGUGGUAUAACGGUAUAAAACUUGGUUUUUAAAUAGAACAUAUGUUUAAAAGAAAAAACACUUUUAACUGAUAUGAGUUUAUGGAAUUUUAUGGGCUGUGAUGUAAAAAUAUAACAGGACUUUGUACUCAAGGUGAUAUAAAUGCCACAGUGAAAGUAAGGAGGAAUACCUUAAAAAAAAGAGGGAUUUGACUGGAAGGACCCCCUGAAGAAGCCUUAUUCCUUCCAGUCUAAGCCCAUCAAACAGCACAGAAAAGGUACAGGCCUAGACUGGCCCAUGACUUAGACUGACCUGCCAGUCAAAGCAAAUGGCAACAAAUUAAGGGAUUCAUGCUAUAAACUAAGACUCGCAGGUCUUGUUGCAUCACGUAUCAGAAGGGACACCAUAGGCCUAGACUGGCUUCUCUUCACACCUGGUCCACAUCCAGUCUAAUACCUCCCAGCAAUCUAAGCCUAUAGCAGUUUGUAGAGGGAAACAUGCUGCUAUAGGCUUUGUAUGGUAGGACUUGAUUCAUGAAGUUCCAAAGUAGGCUAUGGGUGUAGACUGGCAGGUCUUGAUACUUAGUCUACAUCAAGUAUAGUAAGUCAUUGCAGUCUUAGCCUGUAGCAGCACAUUUAAGAAUGCAUGCUGCUACAGGCUAAGACUGACAGGACUUGUUACACCAAGCUCUUGAAGAAGGAUUUUGCCCUGAGCAUAGGCUGGCAGGAGAUGAUAUUAAGCACAAAGCAAAUGUAAGUCUUGCUAUUCUAAGCCUAUACAGCAGAUAAAGAGAUGCAUGCUGCUAAAGGCCUGAAAUUCGUCAUCGUUUUCUUCUGCUUAUCUGGGUCCAGGUCAUGGGGGCAGCAGCUUCAGGAGGGAAGCCCAGACGGCCCUCACCACCACUUCCACCAGCUCCCCCGGGGGGAUUCCCAGGCUCCCCCAGGCCAGGUGAAAUAUACAAUCCCUCUAUCUGGUCCUGGGCUGGCCACGAGGUCUCCUCCCGGUGGGACAUGUCUGGAACACCUCUAACGGGAGGCGUCCAGAAGGCAUCCUAACCAGAUGCCCGAGCCACCUCAGCUGACUCCUCUCGACAUGGAGGAGCAGCGGUUCUACUCUGAGCGCCUCCCGAGUGUCCGAGCUCCUUACCCUAUCUCUCAGCCUUAGCCCAGCCACCCUGCGGCGAUAACCCAAUUUGGCCGCUUGUAUCCGCGAUCUUGUUCUUUCGGCCAUUACCCAAAGUUCAUGACCAUAAGUGAGGGUCGGCACGUGGAUCGACUGGUUAAGCAUCCGCAUCACUGCUGAUGCCGCUCCGAUCCACGUUGAUCUCCAAUCCGCUUAAAAUUGCAGGACUCAAUUCUUGGUCCAAUGCAAGUUUAAUAAGUCCAACCAAUUUAAACCUAUGGCGGCAUAUUAAGAGUUUGCUUGACUCAAAUCUGUAGAUAGCCAAGGGAGACUCUGCCUCCUGUACUUUUUGCAAAGACUAUCACCAAGCGGGUCCAUGUAUUGCAGGUACAAUGAUUGAAAGGGAUAUUUUGAGUUUUAUUAGAACAUUUUGGGGGGAUUUUAUACCUCUCAGGUCCUGUCAGUUCAGUACACACCCAGCAGCAUUUUGAACAGGUUGAGAGUCAUUAGAGACUUAAUUAGGGCAGCCUGAUGAGGAGGAAUUGCAACCAUUGAGCUGGGAAGUGGUGGAUGCAUUAAGAAGUUUUUCUGCAUCACUUAGAGCAAAUAUGUGCCUGAUCAGGGCAAUAAAGGUGGGGAUGGGUAUCCUUGAAUCUCGUUUUAUAUAGCAGUUAAAGGACAUAUCCUGCAACUAUAGCUCCCAGAUUCUUAUGGGUGGCCUUGCAUUUCUACAGAGUGCAAUCUAAAGUUACUUUCUAUAGACUAAUAGACUAAUUGGAGUCAAAGUAAAAAACAGCCUUUGUUGCAUAAAAUAUUGACAUGAAUUAUCUAAUUAUUUUAUGAUAAGCAAACCAGAAGCAAUAUGUGUUCACUUGCACUUAAGUAUUGAGUAUUACCGAGGAACUUCCUGAUCAAAGACAUAUACUUUCAUGCUGUUUCAAGGCGUAUGUUCACUGUGAGUUUACAUGGACAGGGAUGAAUGCAGUGGUGGUCUGACUCAUUAGUUGGACCCCCUGCAGACUGACAUCACAGUGAAACAUGGACCUCAUUACCUCCUAAAUCAGGAUGGAUUGGAGCCAAACCUCCCCUCACCUCUGUGUGAAGGAGAAAGUGCAUUUUGCAUAAAAAGUAAAUUAUCAGAACCCACGCUGAUGCUAAACAAAUGCUGACAUGGCAGAUGGGCAACAAAAAAACUAAAGAUAUAUAUCAUCAAAAUUGAUUUACAAAAUUGGCAAUCAAAAAGCAGAGUGAGUCUUUGAUCCCUUGAGUCUUAGUUGUUAUAAAUUUAACUUUGGGGAACAGAUGGUGGAGCAGACUAGAGUUGGGAUAGCAACUUUGGAAAUUUAAUAUGCAUGUAGCUUGACUGCCUUUUGAUAUAUGUCCCAUUCAGUUCAGCUGCGCACAAUAUGGAACCCAACACAAUCAAUUUGCAUUAAUAUUUAUACCUUAAUCCCACAAAACUCACUCAUUGGACGCCAUUUUUCAGUAAGUUUGAAAGGACAAAAGCAAUCAGCAUUAGUACAUGCAGCAAAGUGAGGUCAAUCAUUUCGCACAUUCAUUAACCUCGUACCUCCAGAACAAAUGAUUGAGAACAAUAUUUGGACACUGGCAGCCACCAUUAGUCUCCCAAUUACAUUAGACAUUGGAUCAGAGGGUUGAGUUUAUGACAGAGGUACAACAAAGCUGAAGUUUUGCAUCUUUAUUAUGUUUCUUGAACACACACUAAAAGAUUAAACUACGACUUCCUUCACUUUAAGUUGUCGCAAUCAAUAUUUUUGGCCGGACUCCCAGAAUUAUAUUACCAAACGGUUUCUGAGCUGCCAUUUUUAGCCUUCAGUGUGUUGGCUGUCGGUUUCAAGGAUUUUUUUGGAAGCCAAAAGCGAAGAUGAUGAAGUUAGAGAAGCAUUUGUAGAGCCUUUUUAAUCAAAGAGUAACACAAAAAAGUCGCAUAAUUAAAAGGAAAGCCAUUUUGGAUGGUGUUUUUGCAAAAUUAAACGAAUUAAGCUAGGUUCUUUCUGUGUUAACUCAAUGAAAUAUUCAAAUCUGUAGCAUCACCCCAAAACUGGCUAAGAAAGAGUUCAGCUAUUAAACACACUUGCACUGAAAUUUGAAAUUUGAAAUUUGAAAUCUACGCUAAAGGCUGUACGUUUCUGGAGCCUGCCCCAAGUGGCUACAUGAGGUACAGCAGUUUUUGAAACCUCUGCUUUGGCUAGAUUAACCCCUUACAAAUACAAUACAGUACAAAGAGAUAUGUAUUUAUCUGGCUCUCAUCUUAUAUGUUUAUAGAAGAAUUAAAAAGUCUGAUUGCUGUGGAAAAGAUCAGAUAAAUCUCCUUGUUACCAUGUUGAGUCUGUAUCCUUGGGUGGUUUCAUGGAGAACAUCACAUGGAACUUCAGCCGUUGCCUUGGGUGGGAUAUAUGAAGAGUUGUGAGUAUGAAGCCAGGUAGAUCCUGUAGGCCUAGAUUUGCUCCGUCUCAAUGAUAGAUGUUCUUCUCUUGAAUAAACUUUUCUCCCAGCAUAGAUAUCCCCCAGUAGUUGACAACAUCUAAUAAAAAUAUUAACAAUAAGAGUAAAAAUUACAUGUUGGUUCUGUUUUAUUGCACUUUGCCUCGGGCCAAGUCUACCAAUACUUUGAGUUAAAUUUAAAUUAAUUUAUUAUAUAACCUCUGCAGUAACUUAGUUUUCCCCUAUUCAACAUAAAUUUCUAUUUCUAGGUCACAGUAUAUUAUUUAGCAGCAAUUUCUAUCAGCAGAAGUGCUUGUGAGAGCUGAUAUAUGAUACUUUGAAUUGACUUUUAAGUAUCUAUGCAAAACCUCCUUCAUUUAUGCAUUGAGUGCAACUUUAAUAGCCACGCCAAUAAAUAAUUAACUCCCCAUCUUGUAGGCUAAGCACUUGUUUAAGGGUAGUGUGUGUACGUGUGGGUGUGUUUGUGUGUGUGUGUGGCAGUCCAUGUGCGGUUAUACUAUCAUGAUGUGACUGUCAGGCCAAAAGAGUAGAUCUGACAUGUGAUGAAUUGUAAGCAUCUGCACUCAAUUUUAUCUUGCCUGUGGGCAUCAUUUUCAGUCAAUAUGAACUCUCAGUGUCCGUGUGUGUGUGUGUGCAUGUGUGUAUGUGAGGGUCUUAUUUGAGAAAACCCCCGUGCCUUCCAGUCUUAUCAGUGAUCCUGGUAGUAGGUCAAGAACUGCAUGUCUUUAGACUGAAUGAUUUUGAUAAAUUGCAAUUAAUACUGAAACAGUCCAUCCAGUUGAACCGCCUGGAGGUGUAGAGAAGCUGUUGGUUGUGCAGCACCUGCAACUAUGCACCAACAGCUGGUGCUGUCACCAUUAACUGCAUGUCUAUGUAGAUGGGUUCAGUGUACAGGUGUGACUUUCAACCAUAGACUGUAUAUAGAAUGGGUGAAGCAACCCCGAGAACAGCACCCUCUGGUGACAGGCUGCAGUAUAGGUCAUAAAUCCCGCCUUCUCCAGCAAUCCCUAUGAAGCUGUGGACAAACUUUAGACAAUUAUUACACAGAAUAUAUGUUUUUCUCCCCCCUGGUUGUGAUGUUGGCAUGUAGUUACUGUAAUACUGUUUUGAGCUCAAGUCCUCUUUUCUCUGUACAGCUCCGUUUUAAAAGUUAUUAAGGGGUUUAUGUUUUCUAUGAUUGACACUUGACACAGCCUAUGGGUGUGUAACUCACCUGGGGAUAUGCUGUUUGAGCCGAGCGUCACCACAGCAACUCUCCCGCUGAAUGCGUACAACGCUACUGCGCAAUGUUGGUUUCAGGAAGUAGAGAAAAAUCGUGGAAAUACUGAGAGCUUUUCGGCUUCAAGUUCGUACACUGGCGGAAGGCGGAACCAAGUUGUCCAUAGUAUAUACAGUCUUUGCUUUCAACUCACAGAGAACUGACGUAUACAAGAAGGUGGGCCUCUGACUUGGAUCCAGUUAUCAUCUGUGGGAAUGUUGUGUUCAGAGUUGGACGUCAAUCGUGUUUGAAAUUUGGAGCAUAGACGAGUACAUUCAACUCCCUGUAUCAAGGCGCGAUGUAGAAGUUGAAUGCAUUGUCAAGGAUACAACCUUGAACAAAUCCAGGAGGAGGAGUAAUGUCUCAAUAGGCCCAUCCUCACCACAUUUGACAAGAAUAUGAUAAGAAUAUAUAAUGUAACUAGAAAAGCACUCGGGAGAGCGCAGACCUCCGCCGGGCAGCUCAUGUCCCCCCUUAUAUUGUGAUUCACACCAAAACGUUUACUGUUACGUGUCUUUUAUUAACGUUUAUUUGUGUUUAAACUGGUAUGUUCACUGUUCAUAAUGUUCCUAAAACAUCAAAGCUCAUAUUAGAUACAUAAAUGCAUGAUUUAUUAUGCAAUAUUUGUAAACGUACACUUCUUUGUAUCUUCAUUGGUUAUCUUUCAACAUUGAAAAUUCCAAUGACACCCUUAUUUUUGUGUGUUCUGGAUCACAGUAUCCAGAGACUCUGGCCAUUUUUAUAGAGUUAAAUGCAAAAAUUCCAAAAUUUGCCCUAUCUCACAAUGAUAAAGAAUCCUUCAAAGAAUUCCUGGAUCUAGAAGGCGAUCCGGAUCACCACCAAAAUUUAAUGAAAUCCUUCUGGGGCUGAGACACACCUCUGGUGAAAAUUUCAGGUCAAUCCGUCUGUUACUUUCUAUGUAAAGUUGCUAACAGACAAACAAACAAACCAACCAAUGCUACCAAAAACAUAACCUCCUUGGCGGAGGUAAUAAAGGGUGGAAAGAUUAUCUGGGAGAAGGAUUGAAGGAUGGAAGGAAAGAUGGAUGGAAGGCGAGGUGGUAAGGAGGGAAGUAUGGAAGAAAAGGUAGAAAAAAAACUAGGGCCCUAAUUAGCAGGUUUUAAAGUAAACAGACUGUGUUUUGUUUACUACAUUAAAUAUGCAGUUUGAUGUUUGAUUUAUGUUUCAUAGGUUUAAAUCCGUUUCCAGAGAGAUCAGUUUAACCUCAUUUUAUUGUGGCUGAGUAAAAAGUUUAAGUUUGACAUAUUCCAACUGUGAGCUUAAAACUGUAGUUGAGGGCAAAACUUGAUACAGUAAUCUACUGUCGCACUUUAGGGUUGUGACCUGUGGAGGUGUAAAAUGAAUUUCACUUCAAAAGAUGCCCAUGAGGGAGCAGAACACACUCUCAGCUGUGACUGCGGGUCUUUCCGGGGCAUGUGCCAAUGCUUUUGGAGCGCAUAUUUCUAAGAUAACAUUUCCAGCACUGUGGGAUAAUUUUUUUGCAGGAAGCGUCUUGCUCCUGUGAACUUCGCAUACCCGUCUGAUGAGAAGAGUGAAGGAGAGGUGCCCUUGGUCUGUCUCCAGCAUUAUCAGAGCUCCUUGCCAAGUGAGGAGCCGAGGGGGUGAUAUCUCUGCACGUGUAUGCACAUACACAGAGCUGAGUUACACGCUGCAAGAUGCACGAAAACCAAGUGCACACAACUGGCUUAGCCUGCAUGUUUGUUGCUGUUCUUCCAGCUUUUGCCGUGCCUGUUUGCGGUCUAUCUAUGGUGUUUAUCCAGCAAAGGCAGGCCAGGAUCGGGGCUAAAAUGAUCAGACACAAGCCAUGGAUGUGCUGUGUGGAGGAGCAGGCAUGCAUAAUCACUGACUUUGGCAUCAAGUGAAGCUCUGGUGCCUUGAAUCAGGUGCUUCGCCCUCUAUCCUGUAUCAAAAAGACUUGGAUGUAUCAUGAAGGCAUGUGAAAUGAAUGGUCAAGCAGUCUGGGAGCUUUUGAAGCCGAUAUAAAAAGCCAGUCUUUUGUUUUGUUUUUUUGUUUUUAUAGCAUAAUGACACAACCCAAGGUCUGCAGGACGUGUGUACCCUAUCAAAAUACACUGUGUUGCUGUUAACAAGGUUGCUAGCAAUCUCAAGCUAGCUUUUGAACUCUCCUUUUGAUUUCCAAAAAGAUUCCAGUGUGUUUUGUAAAGGUAAAAAAAAACUCCCUUCCGGAGCUUUAAUGCAGUUAUAGAUAAUGACAGGUGACAUCUUGGAUUCUAACUGAUCUGUUUGUUGAAGGUGUUGCUGAUCCCGCAGAAUUAAGCUCACUCUGACAGCUUUAUUAGCUUUUAUUUGUGGUACAGAUGCUGCAAUGACAUAAAAUGCUGUUUCUGUGUGGGCUUUUACAGCAUUACUUACAGCCCCCUUAAAUACUGCCAGCGAGGUGGAUUUCCACAGGACAUGCAGUUAAAUCCCAGGUGUUACAACCGCCUUACACCAGUAACUGACAGAUAGACUUUUAUUCACCCACACUGCUCAGCCUGGGGACUACAACCAGAACUGAGGGAACAGGACAGGUCUCACUGUUUUUGUGUUCUUCUUUUCCUCAAACUGUCCAAAAUGUCGGCAUGCUGCUCACCCUGCCCUGACUGUCAGUGCUUCACCUGUGAUGAGGAAGCAGACUUUUAAAGCUCGGUACACGUGUUUACUCGCUGGUUUGACUGGCUAUUGACGGCAGGAUGGACGCGUAAAUAAACAACCAAGAUGGGCCCAUCAAUAAGAUGGACAGCUUACUUUCCAAACAGGGGUGUGUUUUGUUGUUAUCCAGAAUCCAGUCUCAGCAGGGAUGCUUCGCCAGUUGCUUACACAGUGUGACUUUACCUGUCUGGCUCUGUUUGCAGUGGACUGGAUAAACGAAGUCUGGUAGAAGUAACGCUGACACAACAGGUGCUUUGUUAGCAACCGAGGCAGUUGCUCAGUAAUCUAAGCAGCAGCUGCUCAGCUGGCUUUCACAACACUGGACGCAUGUUAAAGGGAUAUUCCAGCGUAAAGUUAAUUUAGAAUCAAACACACAGAAACACUGAGUCAGACACCCCCUCAUAGAUGAAUGUGGCCGAACGCUUGCUUCUCUAGUUAUACCAACUUUAGUAACGACCGCACGAUAGCAAUACACAGCAGUCUGAGGAGCCAUAAACAAACCUCAAGCAAAACGCCACUCUAUAGCCACAAAUAAUGCUCAGAACAGCACCUAACUUCAUCAACAGUACAUAUAGGGUCCCAGCCACAGUACUAGCCACAAAACGUCUUUUUAACUUUGCCUAAUUUCUUAAGUGAAGAGACUAAACACAACUUACCCAUUUUCCUCCAACAGCCAUUUGUUUGUACCGAGACCUCAGGCCAGUCCAUUACGAUGCGCAGCGGGGUGACGCAGCUCAAGGAAGAACAUUUAUGAUAAUUUCUUUAUGGAAAUGCAAUCAGACCGAGACACUAAGGCAGAAGAACUACUGCGCCUGCAGUGCAAAAUGAUUAAUAUGGUGAUUAUUACUUCAAGGAAAUGAUCAAGAAAUGAUUGUAAAUGUUCCUCCUUGAACUGCGUCACCCCACAGCAGUCCACAAUGGACUGGCCUGAGGUCUCGCUACAAACAAGCAGCUGCUAAAGGAGAGUGGAUAAGUUGUGUUUAGUCUCUUUGCUAAAGAAAUCAGGCAGAGUUAAAAAGAUGUUUGAUGGCUAGUACUAUGGCUAGGACCAUAGAUAUAGAGUCUAGAUAUAGACUGUAUAUAGAAUGGACAGAGUCUGCCUCCUCGCUGGGUGAAGCCACUCUGAGAACAGCACCCUCUGUUGAUGGGCUGCAGUAUAGAUCAUAAAUCCCGCCUCCGCCAGCAAAGCUUAUGGGACUGUGGACAAACUUUAGAAAUUUAUUACACAGAAUAUACAUUUUUCUCCCCCCUGGUUGUGAUGUUGACAUGUAGUUACUGUAAAACUGGUUUGUGCUCGUCCUCUUUUUUCUGUGAAGCUCUGUUUUUAAAAGUUAUUAGGGGGUUCAUGUUUGCUAUGAUUGACAUCUGAUACAGCCUAUGGGCGUUCAGGGAUUGCGUAGCUCUCCCAGGGGAUACGCUGUUUGAGACGAGCGUCAUCACAGCGACUCUCUGCGACUGCGCAACUGGUUUCAGGAAAAUGAAGAAAAAUCCCGGAAAUACCGAGAGCUUUUUGGCUUCAAACCCGUAUACAGGUGGUAGGCGGAACCAAGUUGUCCAUAGUAUAUACAGUCUAUGACUAGGACCUUAUAUGUACUGUUGAUGAAGUUAGGUGCUGUUCUGAGCAUUAUUUGUGGCUAUAGAGUGGCGUUUUGCUUGAGGUAUGUUGAUGACUUAAGUGUGUAAAACUAGAGAAGCAAGUGUUAAGCAACAUUCAUCUCUCGAGUGGAUGUUUAACUCAGUGUUACGGUGUGUUUGACCCUAAUUUAUUUUUAUGCCGGAAUAUCCCUUUAACAUGAGCUGCUGAGUUAAAAUACUCACAAAAAAAGCUCUUUAUAGAAGAGUUUGAUUUCAAAGUGGUGUAAAUUUUAUUUAAUUUUAAAGCUCUAGUCUGGAGCAUAGAGAUGACAAGAUAAACAGAGGCUGCUUCGUCCACAGGGGGCGCAAAGUUGACACAAAUCAAAAGUCCCUCUCAGGAGCUAUCAUAACAGAAAAUCGUGUAAAGUCUCUCACAGUCAAUCGUGACUGAGUUUUUCCAGGCAAAGCUGUUAAAUUUUGUUAGCAUUCUUUAUGGGUAGACUAGCCAACAUUAAGAGUAAUCCCCAGCACUUGAUCCUGUCCUGCAGUUUUAGUAUCUUGAAUCUGAGGGAGUGAAAAAAACAUUGAAAACUCUGUCAAGACAGACACAGGAAAGAGCCAGGAGAAGAACUGAAUGUUCUGGCAGGAUUCUAUCUCUUAUUACCAUCUGAUUUUAUACAUUAUCCCUCACAUAACACAGCUUGAACGUAACAAUUUUCCUGUGAGUACUGGGUGAAAUUAUAUAUUUUUUCACCUUUAAUUGACCAUUAUGGGAAACAGGAUUGAGGUACAAGAUGAAUCAGUCCACGAAAGCUUUUUUUUAUUAUUCACAUGUUAAAACAGAGCAUGAUCCAUAUGCAAAUUUAUUAUCACUUUUUCACUUACAAGAUUCCCAAUGCUAAAUCCUUAAAUACUAUGUGCUAUAGUUUCACUCGACUCUCCACAGAGAGUUUAGAGGCUUGGGAUACUCGAAGAAGGAGAAGAGGCUCUUAUAUUAAGAGUUAUCUCGAGAGUGUAGUGAGACUUCAAGCUGUUUAAAAGCCUAUAUGACACCACGUAAUGGCUUCACUCAGAAAAAAAAAGUCAUACACUUUAAUAUGCUGUAAUGACCCGUCGUUAUGGUGCUCAUUCCUGGCAUAGCACCACCCACCGUGUCCCUUAGUAGAGGGGUAAUUAGCGAGAAAAGACAGAACCACCUGAGAAAAACGCCUUCUUCAGUGAACCCAGAAUAGCUUGAACACUGUUAGGGGCCGUGCUGAGCCUUUGGUCACGUCCACCCUCCAAAUGUCCAAAUGAAAGUCACUGAUUUUUCGAACGCUUUUGGAAAAGAGGGGUCUCUUUUCCCCGAUCAAUCCUAAAUCUUGAUUAAAGGUGCCCUAUUAUGGCAUUUUUCAUCCACCCACAACAGUAAGUUUGAAGUUUGUUGUUUAAAACACCAGUUUGUUUGUGGAUAUCAGCCAGCCUGUACCCCCUUCUUUUUGAGCUCCACUAACAUGGGUUGAUUCUGCGCCUGUACCUUUAAAUGAUAAUGAGCUGCAUGUAAACAUCUUCCUCCCCAAGGCCACUCUGAGCUGCCGGCACCGCUGUGGUGGUCCAAGAGCGGUGGUCUGGAGAUCUUCGGAGGACCUCUUCAGAGGACCUCCAAACCACCACAGCUGGAAGCACCAGCCUGCCUCCAUGCCCCCGAGGAACACCCGCUGCUCACGGGAAUAAAAGUUAAAAAAAAAAGUUGUCUAUGUCUAUGUAUCUAUGUAUCUAUGUAUCUAUCUAUCUAUGUAUCUAUCUAUCUAUCUAUCUAUCUAUCUAUCUAUCUAUCUAUCUAUCUAUCUAUCUAUCUAAAGUUGGGUCCCUGACACGGACAGUCGGUACGGAUCCAGGUUUUAUCUUCAGCUUCUUAGCAAAUCCGUCUUGAAACUGCCCCUCGUUGGUAAAACAGUCCGUGGUCAAAUGGUUAGCACAUACUGUACAUACAACAUUUUCAGAGUUGUUGUGGGUCCAUUUCUUCAAACGGGUCCUCAGAUCUUCUGAUGAAGGAGGCAGAAAUAGACCCCUGUCUUCGUUUGGCUCGUAGCUUCGACAUGGUUGCUGUACCAGAGCGGUGUGCAUGAGGGGAAAAAUGGCGGACGCUACCUCAGCGAAGAAGUUUUAGAGGGCUAAUGAUUAUCGGGGGUGCUGCCACCAACAUGUAGGAGGGAUUUAUGUGGUUAUGACAUCAGAACCACGCUGCUUUUCUAUUCGCCCGUUUGCGCUCAUGUUUUCAGAAAAGAGGGGAAAGCAAGAGAGGGAGAGAAUGACAUUUUUUCAAGUUGGGAGGGUUGUCGGCUUCGAGGGCAGUGUUGGGGAAACCCUGGAGGGGAUGCAUAUUAUUGAUAGAAAACCACCCAAAGGUGUAUUUUUCAUAAUAGGGGACCUUUAACUAAAGCAUGCCCAUCCUCGGUACCCAGUUCACUGUUAGUUGAAACAAAUUUCCCUUACAACGGUGAAUGUCUUACGCAUCCAGCAUAACAAUCCAACACCAGGAAAUAAUCCCAUCCAAUCACUUUCAACUUUCCUCAUCUAAAGAGUGAACCUCAUUAAGUUCCACCAAAUACCAAUCAUCUUCUCUAUUUGGACACCCCGGUGCUUUUUCCUCUUCCUGUUAUCAUCUCGCAGCCGCGCUUCUAAAUAAUAUUAUGCUCAGCCUGUCGAAAAUGGACUUAAUGGAACCAUUCAUAUUGAAAUUCAUUCCGGCGUUCACCUUCUCUAACUAGGUCUCGAGGCUUUCCUGCAUCUUGUGAAUUUAGUCGGUUAGUGGAGCAGAGAGUGAGGAAAUGAGGCUAUUUGCAUCAAGAACACCGCAAACUUUCCCCCCUCGAUGACAGGGCCGGGAUAAAAAGACUCCUAAGAGCUAUAUAUAGCCGCGCUGGUCUUCUGUGUUCUCUUUGACCUACACAACUCCUUCAUCCCUUAACAGGCUUGAAAGAAACAAGCGGCGUACUAAAAUCAUAAUGCCAUUAAACUUGGGGAAGUUGGAGCCAUUACGCACGGCCAAAUUACUCUUAUUAACCCCCAACAGCAAGGAUUAAUCAUAGUACAAGUGAAACUUUGCUCAUGAGCAUGCCCACACAUAUACACAAGAGCACCCACACACAGAUAAGGGCAUACACAGCGUAGAGUUGCGAGGCGCAGUGAUUAGUCUUGUCAUUUAGAUGAGAGAGAUCGUAAUGGUUUCAUAAUUUUGACCUUGGCCAGAGGCUUGAUUAUACACAUGGUCCUAAUGUGCUGAGGCAAAUGAUGAUUGAUAUGAAUAAUGACUCCUGCCAAUCAUUGCUCAUAAUACCUUCAGGAGCCAGGUGGCCGACUCUUAUUAAGCUAACCGAGCUGGAUGGGGGGGAGAACACGCCGGGGUAAGGAUGCUAUCGCAAUCUAAAUAGAGACAUGUUGUUUGUAUUGUUUAAUUCUUGAUAUCUUAUGAGGUUUUACAUCUUUUAUUUGAUUCUAAAGCAGUUUAUUUAAGGAUUCAAGAGCUUUUGGAAACAAAGUCGAGUUUUAAAGUCUUCUACUCAUGUAGAAACAAGCUGUAAGGCCUAACUGGGAUUAGAAGUGGCUGGCAAAGGCACAUUUUGGUCAAGGCAGGUCAAACUAGUUGACUAGAGCUGAGCAGGUGUUUGUGGAAAAGCACCAGCAAAGUAAAGCUAGGUGUAUUGAUACCCAUUGGUGGCUUCUGGGCCAUGUGGGCUGGUCUAAUAAAAGAGCUACUAGGGCUCAAGUUGAUGGUAGAAACAGAAAGUCAUCUAAACUCUAAAUCCACCCCAGCUUGUUGUGUAGUUGCAGGUAAGUCAGGGUGCCCAUGCUGAUCAAGUCCAGUCAAGCACCCUUGUGACAUCCUGAACAAUCACCAGGGAUUUUCACCGUACGCCAAUUCCUACCAGAUCCAUUUGUGAGGCGAAAUUCCGUGGCAGAUUACAGACAGCGGGAAUCACGAGAACUCACAAGAACCCGCGGAUUCACGCACAAUCCGAAAUAUCAAGUUGUCUUUAGCCACAUAGGCUAACCAUACAAGUAGUUGAUUUUGUUCUUCCAGAGGAGGAAAUCUACUUCUAGACUUAUAAAAUCAGCAUCCUCUCAUUCAUGGUGUCAUCAGGAUGAAAUGCUGUCUGAAAACCUUUCACUUGUUCGUCCACGCCCGUUUGCAUGGUGUGAAAUACAAUCUGCCUGAAACACAGAGUGUUUUAUUUUGAAAAGAAGCCGGAUGUUUUAUUUUGUGUCUGUGCCCGACUUCCUUUCCAGCACGGACUAAUCUGUGCUGAACUUAUCCGGCAUGCUCCGGCGUCCGGAAAAAAUAGAACACUUGCGAUCAGCUGCAGAACGGAAAGAAGCCGGUAGAAAUUGACACAUUAACUUGAAUGGUUACGAUCAGCUACGAUCGGCAAUUAUGUCCUUUUCCUAGCCGUUCCAGAUGCGGUGGAAAUUGCCAGCCAGUCUUAUCCUAAAAACCAACACCCUGCUGAUCCAAGAUACCACAGCAAACUUAUAGAGAUUUUGUGGAGUCCAUGUCUUCUCAGGUCAGCGCUGUUUUGGCAUUGAACCGAAGAGAGGAGAGCCCAAACAAUACUGGACAAGUGGUUGCAAUAAUCAGGCUGAUUGCUGUUUAUUUUGCUGUAAUAAUUUGAUGCAGGGAGAACACUUAGCCCAGCAGCCUUCAUUGUACAUUUGGGAUAUAAUACAAAGGCAGCAUAUAAAACAGACAGCAGCAUCAUAAAAACAGGCAGCGGAAUAAAAGCAGAUGAACAAUAAACAUGUUUGAAAAAUCUGUGGUAUCAUUUUGCUGGAAAAUAUGUGUUUGUCUGGAUGAGUUGAUUUAAAAAUAGACGCUGCGCUCGCCUUAUAAAUUUUUCAGUCACUUUUAAAAGCCAAAUUUUCCUCCACUGGCUGUAUAAUUACUUUUUCCUCAAGCUAGAUUGCAUCCGGUGAGACUUUUUAUCCCUUCAUUUCUACUUAAAGGAGCUGUAAGGGACUUAUUAGUUGUGUUGUUUUUUUGAGACCCCUUUGGCUGAAAUAAGAUAAAGACCAUAAUUGACUGUUAUUAAGAUGUUGCUCUAAAUAAGGGGCAAGUCGGGACUAAGAGUUUGAUUGUUGAUGCCAGUAUUUGACAUUUGGCGGAUUACCUGUACUGAACUUUGAUGUUACAGACAACCCAUGAAAUUAAAGCUCCAGUAAGGAAGUUUUUGAUGUUUACGAAAUACACUGGAAUUCAAAAAAAGACCAUCACUGACAAAAUUGACAGUAUUGCGAGGGGGUAGGCAUCAGCUGAGCAACUCGCCUAUACCUCUCCUAGAAAACUAUCUGAUUGGUUUGACUUCCUGUUAUUUAAAGGUACUGUAAGUGCUAGCUAACUUCGGUAUAUAAUAUCGGAUGAUAGGUUUCAGUUAUGGUUUGACAUUUGAUACAGGUUCUCCAGCGAAGUUUUGUGAUUCUGAAUUUGGCAUUAAGUUUUUUUUUUUUAUUUUGUCUGUAAAUGCUUAUUGGUAACAAAUAUCAGUUAUCAGUCUCAUGAACAACUAAAAUUCAGUAUCCGCCCUGAAAAUCCGGUAUCAGUCCACUGUAAGGUGCCACCUUCUGUAACAGAAAUGGACAAACUUGCCAAUAAAUCAAUCCUGGUGUUUGUAGACUCAGACAAGGGCAGUAGUCCAAUUAAAUCCCGUAAUCGAGCUAUAAUCCUAGCUUGGGGCAACUGCGCAUUUAAACAUACGUAAGGAAGAACAAUUAUGAUCAUUUCAGAAGGUUCACCGUGUCUGCAGUGCAAAAUGAUUAUUAUGGUGAUUAUUACUUAAAGGAAAUGAUAAAAAUGAUCAUAAAUUUUCUUCCUUGAGCUGCAUCACCCCACAGCAGUCCAUAAUGGACUGGGCUGAGGUCUCGCUACAAACAAGCGGCUGCUGGAAGAGAGUAGGUGAGUUGUGUUUAGUCUCUUUGCUAAAGAAAUCAGGCAAAGUUAAAGAGAUGUUUGGUGGCUAGUGCUGUGGCUAGGACCCUAUAUGUACUGUUGAUGAAGUUAGGUGCUGUUCUGAGCAUUAUUUUUGGCUAUAGAGUGGCGUUUUGGUUGAGGUUUGUUGAUGGCUCCUCAGACCGCUGUGUAUUGCUAUAGUGCGGUCGUUACUAAAGUUGGUAUAACUAGAGAAGCAAGCAGUUGGCUACAUUCAUCCCUCCCUCGAGUGGGUGUCUAACUCGGUGUUACAGUGUGUUUGACCCUAAAAUAAUUUCGGAAUAAUUUCGCCGGAAUAUCCCUUUAAGCUAGGUUGUUCAAAAUUGAGUGAAAUAUCUACAGAGGCUGGAUUACAGAUUUUAUAACCAUUGUUCCUGUAAGUCUCUUUUUUUUAUCCUUUUGAUAUUUUCAUUUUUUUGUUCAAAGACACAGAAAACAAAAACAAACAGAGAUGAAAGACAGUCAAAAUCAAAGAAGAUAACUGUAUUUAAAACGACUUGUGGUGAUUUAUUACUUUGCCGUCUCAAAAAACCCAAUUUUAGACAUCUCCUUUCUUAAUAUGUCUGUUUUUUCGAUAUCUCCCACACAGGCUGCAACAACAGCUAUUUACCGUGGGUGAUGUUGCUGCUUGUGCUCAUCCCUGUUCUCCUGUAUCCCCUGACAUGCACCCCCACCAUGCCUCUCCUUAUUUCCCCGGAGCACUCAGGUGGAAAAGCAUUUCAUUUGCUAAACAAAGUGGAAAGCUGCCACAACACAGGGGCGUAAUGGAGAGUGAUGGGUGGCCCCCAUACCGGGAACCAUGGGACAAAGCAUAAUUACUCCUCCUGUCAACAUUGCAGCAUCCAUCACUUACUGCUGUCGCUCGCUAAAGGCUUCAAGCCACAACGCUUCCAACAAGACAACUAGUCCGUGUGUGUGUGUGUGUGUGUGUGUGUGUGUGUGUGUGUGUGUGUGUGUAUGUGUGUGUGGGGUUCAUAUUUGUGGCUUUGUUAAGGAUUGUUAGCGCUUCAUCAAGCAUUCCUGUGCGUGUGCGUGUGGCUGCUUCACGGUUAAGCCGGCUGAAACCUCGGACUCGCUCAAGAUGCUGAUUGCUCCAAGUCUGACUGUGACGCGUACAACGAAAACAAGGAGAAUCCAUUUUGUAGGGUGUACCGAGCGAAAUGCCCCAGUCAUGGGAAUAAAUUCCACAUGAAGCUGUGUUUGUUUUUUGCAACCCUGAGCUCAAAAAGCUUUCUUUUGUAGAUGCAUACAGACACCAGGAGAGAUAAUCGAGUGUUUCAUUUUCUGGAUAGAAUGCAUUAUUAAAGGGGUAAAGUUUGCGUGCAAAAGAAGUUUUGUACUUGGUUAACUUGAAUAUUUAUUGAGGGUAAAGUAGGGGCAAAUGACCAUUAACUGGAAACUUAUUUUUAUCGUAUAAACUAUGAUUUUAAAUCUCCCACAAGGAGUUUUAUAGAACAGAGUUAGAGUCAUACUGAUGCACUAUUUGUCCUGCCAAACUGAAAAUGACCAACAGUGAGAGGACUGACUAUAAAGGCCACUUUUAGUCUGUUAAUGCUGCCAUCAGAGCAGCGUGAGACAAGGCAGUCGAUACGAUACAUCUUUAGCUAUUAUUUUCCCAGACAUAGAUUUUAAAGGCAUGGUUGACGAUCUGAGAAGCAGUUGAACAAAACUGAGCCAAUGAGGCAGAUUUGAAAAAAGCGUCCCACCCUCCACAUGCAAACCUCUCCCCUCUGUGCUCCAUGAUAACUCCCCCCCAAACCUGUAUCGCCUCCCCACGACACACCCCCUCUGGCAGAGCAAGAAGCCGGCCAGUAAAAGAUCGUACGCUAGCUUCAAAUAGGAUUCACCAUGUCUGAUUCCUAGUGCUUAGCCGCAGUUAAUACCAGCUGUGCUAGCUAGCACAUUUCCUCUUCAACUCUGCACUUUCUUCUGUUGGCUUGUGUUUUCUUAGCACUUUUGGCGGUGGGGCAAGCAAAAUAGUUUCUUUUACGUCCUUCUAAGCUAAGCCACUACGCUGCUUUUAGCUGCUCAGAGGAGGGCUGGGAGAGGACGAGUCGGAACUACCGGAGAGGGCUGUGUCGAAUACAGCGAGAUGAUUGGAUGAAGAGGCGGAGCAGGAGAUUGACCAAUAGGAGCUGUCCAGGACGGAUGGCUCCCAUUGGUCAAUGUUUUUGAAGCCCUGCACCUGCUAGGGUGAACCGAUUUUUUCAGUUCUUUUUUCUCUUCACUUUGUGGAGAUCGCACUAUAGUACCAUGAUCGCCAUAUAAACGAGGUUCAUAAUAAUUACCAAUCUCUCCAAUCGUCAACUAUGCCUUUAAGAAGUCCAGAUGCGGUUUAAAAUGUCAUGACUUUUAAGUGGAAAUCACUGCAUGGGGUCAAAACCGCAUCCAGAAACCAUUGUUCAUGGACAUUGUUCCUGCAAGCAUUCAAAGAGGAAACCAUUUGGUCCGAUGAAACAAAUCUGGUAUUCAUUUUGGAAAUCUUUGACUCUAGUUCCUCCAAACCAAAGGGGAAGGACCGGAUGAUUUUUCAAGCGAGUAUGUGUGAUGGGACUAGGAUGCAUUUUUUUACCUAUGGUAUUGGUAGAUAACAUAUUCGGGAAGGCACCAUUCAUGAUGAAGAAGCUAUACAACUUUGAAGUGCAUGCUGAAGUAUUUUUCAGAGAAAACCUCUCAUAUAUCAGUAGGACAAUGCAAAACCACAUCCUGCAUAUUGUAGUAGAGGCAUGGUUUAAAACGAGCGUGGGAUCGGAUCAAAAUAAACUCCUUUCCUUGUUCUUAAAGGGAACAGAAAGUGACCCCCCAGUGUGAUAGCCCUGCUCAGUCAUGUGUUUUAAUACUUUUUGGCAAACACAGGAGACUUAAGGCACCGAGGACUGAUACUUAUCAUGCUUCAAAUAACAAUAAACUCAGGUCUUUGUUUGUUUUAGUCUUAAUCGUGGGAUUUAUUGGCAACGCAUAAAAGAACAGAUCUCUCCAGCCUUGCGAUUUGAGUUCUCAUAAGAUCCAAAAUGUAGCUUAAUUAACAAUGGCUGACUUAAUGCCACAACAACAGCUGUCCCUAUUGGCCCUUUCUUGCUUUAUUUGCAGUAACUUAACUCUUCUCCCACUUCACAUGUCGUCAAGCUUUCCCAGUCCAGAAGCAGUCCGAUGAGUUUUCUCGCCUUCUGCGCCAUCUAACUUCCACAGCUGCUCUCACUGCCCCGAUCAGCUCACUGCGACCAAGACCAGGAUGAACUCCUGGUACUUUUUUUUCAACUACAUGAACUGCCUUCUUAUUAAUAUUCUCUGCUGACUCCUAAAACUUUUACUGGCCGAGACCAUUGGUCACGCAAUAUGUCAUUCCUCCAAGUCGCUCUGUGCUCGGUAAAAGUGCUUUCAAGUUUUUGCUCCCUCAUCUUUGAAUGACCUACACAGUCACUUUAAACUGGGUUAUUUCAUGUGGGUGGGAGAGUAUAAAAUCAAGUUUAAAGAAUAUCUGACCUCUGGAAAUGUCCUUACAGAGCAACAUUUUGUGUAUUUGUGUUACUUUUUUGUUUGUUCAAUUGUGAAAUCUUUUUUAUUUUACACUCUUGGCCAGAGCCACAAUGAAAAAUCUGUAUCAUUGUGGGAUGAAAAGCUGUCUUUCAAGCUUUGGUGUCUUGCAUCUUUUUUUUUUUUUACACAUCAAGCGCAAUGCGAUUGUGCGACUUUCCAGGGGGAAAAAAGACGCGUCCCAGGUGGAAGUGAGAAGACUGACACAACAGCCGACUGACUGUUUUUAGUUCUGAUUAGACACUAGUGUUGAGAUGUCUGUCUGUCAUGAUAGCAUGUACUGAGUCGGGGCCAGUACCAGAUAAGCACAUUAAACUAUAAUCCAUAAAAAAUCAUCAGUGAUCUUUCAAUUUGUGUCAAUUAUGGCGCCCCCUGUGGACAAAACAGUCUUGGCUUAUCGUAUCUGCCACAGCUUUGUGAUCUUAUUGUUGAUAUUUGCUGUGUCUUCAUCUGCUCAGGUGGCACCUACCCCUCAUGUAAAAAUCAUCAGUGAAGUCACUGAUGGUUUUUUUUCUGCUUUUGGAUAUCGUAGAAAGGCAUCAACAUGAAUUUAACAUUAUUUCAUGAUUGUCAAAAAAAAAAAAAAAAUCCUCAUGGGAGCUUUAAUGCCUGAAAUCGAUUACUUGUAAUUUGAAACACAAACUCUAGUUAUUUUUUCAGUGUAUCCCAGGACUAUACAAAGUGAGCUAAUUACUGCUACAAAUAUCUUUCCGAUGUAGCUAAUUUUGAUUACACCAAACUCAAGCAGUGAAACAUCCCUCCAUCUGAAAUACCGUCAUACAUCUGUCUUUUCUGUGCAUCAUUUAUGUCAUCUGGUAAAUAUUGAAUAUGUUCCCAUCACAUACAGGUCAGUGUUCUCAAAGGAACAAACAAGGGGAGGUUAUUUGGGGUACCGGACCCAAAAUAGACAAGAACUUAGUCAUGCAUUUUUUAUUUAUGUCAGAGUUCAGUCUUGAAGUACCCUAGUUUCCCCAUUUUGUAUCACUUUAUGGAGUUAUCCCCUUUGAAACUAGAUCUCUCACAGAUUAUUUUGGUGUUUUCUAUGGUGGUAAUGCAUGCAUGUUAACAUUUGCUUGAAAAAUUUAGUUUAUUAUGCAUCUGUGUUUAACAUAAUGCAAACAGGUGUAGUUGCAUAUUUCACGUUGUUAUGAUAUGCAGAUGACAUUAUAUUGUUUCUGUGUUUCCCUCACAUUUGCAGAUUGUCGGAGAACCUGCACAGCUGGUGCACUCAGCACUCCCUUUUUCUCCCUUUCCAUAACCUGAAAGAAAAUGUUUCCAUUUUUUCUUUUCACAAUCAGCUUUUGUACCCCCGCUGCACAGUUCUGUACCAGUGUUAGAAUAAAGGUGCGCAUUAUCAAGUGGGUAUAUAAAUAAAAGCAAACUUUACCCAACUUGCCUGCAAUCAAGAAGUCAGCCUUUUGUUCAAAGCAUUUGUUUCAAACACUUUAAAGAACAGACAACCCUGGCCUUUUACAGGAUUAUUUUUAAUGCAAAUGUGAGGUGUGGAGUGACCAAUUGAGAAACACUUAUCCUGUGUACGCCGGCAGAAACAAAGGCAUUUUUUGUACUCAGCAUGUAACCUUUAACUGCUAGUUUAGAUGUACCUGUUAAAGGACAUCUUUAUAAACUGAGAAAACAGCCUACAGUUCUGUUUGCAUUUUAAAAACAGUACAUAAUGUGGUAAGAACAGUCCAAACAACAGGAAAAUAACACGCUCUGAGGAUUUCUCUGGGCUUUUGUCAGAGUCAAGGUGGUUAGUUACUUCUGGCUUUAUGACUGUCCUCUAUCUCUCAAAGCAAUUUGAAGCAGCCAUGAGAACAGAGCAAUUAUCCUCUCCUUUCUCCCGGCUGUAGAAAUGAAGGAUUGACUCAUCUAGACUGUCUCAAGGGGUCCAUAGCUGUCCGGGCCUGAGACACCUUCUCACCAAUAGUCACCUUUCCCCCUGUAUCAUUAAAUUGUGCUGAGCUGCCCACAGUUUGUCGUUGUUUGCUAUUCUUCGCUGGGGCAUCCAAAGAAGAGAGACUAAUCAGUAAAGGUCAGAAGUGUUUUUUAUCAAACAGAUUUAGAGAAAAGAGAAAGAUGCGCUCAGCAUGAACUGAAAUGAUAUUUUAGCUGACCCGAUUUAAGGUCAGCAGAAGAGGAAAGACACACGCUUGUACAUAAUGCAUGGUGAUAAUAUCAAAAGUUUGAGGAUAACAAUGGAAAUAUAAUGCCUAAAGGUCCUCACACACUGGGAACGACGCAAAUAAAUGACACGAAAUUACAAAAUAUUAGGAGGCGAAUUUUGACGCGCCUGACUAUACACAUCAAGCGCGAUGUGAUUUUGCGACUUUCAAGGGGGGAAAAAAGACGUGUCCCAGGUGGACGCGAGAAGACUGACACAACAGCAGACUGACUGUUUUUCAGUUCUGAUUAGACACUAGUGUUGAGAUGUCUGUCUGUCAUGAUAGCAUGUACUGAGUCGGGGCCAGUACCAGAUAAGCACAUUAAACUAUAAUCCAUAAACAUAAGGUAACAACUGAGACCUAAUGGUGCUGUGACAGCAACGUGAUUGAGUUUGAGACCGUGAAAAUACAUAUGGUAUGUUGUAUCUGAACAGGUUAGCUUACAAGCUAAAGUUACUUAGCACAGAUGAAAGUUCAAACAAAGACGUUUAGUAAACUGUUGAAGCACAAAAACCAUCGUCAUAUGAGAAAUCGGACGCUAUGACUCUCCACAAGUUGUCCUUCAGGUCGUUAUUUUAUCAAAAAGCACUCUGUUCUCCGACACAUAAACAAUCAGCUGGUUGGCCAUGUUGGAUAUAUUGGGGAAUCUGACGUCACAACAACACGCAAUCUGAUUGGUCAGAAGUGGACACACAGUAUGCGAAACUAGAAAAUUCGAGCGUGACACGAAGAAAUUAAAUGCUGCAAUGUCGCAGGACAGGAAAAUGUUGCUGAUGCGAAUGCUUGUAUUGACAGGAUACGGGUUCAAAAAAAAAAUAUUGAUGUAUGUAUGUAUAUAUAUAUAUAUAUAUAUACCCUCUCUUAAACCCAUGCAGUGGUAGGAAUUGGAAAAAAAAUGUCCUUAUGGGUGUCCUUCUAGCAGGUAAACACAAUAAAAAGCUCUGCUGAUGCACUCCAAGUGGAUAAAUUGCAAACACAUGGCCUUGUGAAUGGCAUGACUAGAGACAAAAUGUAAACAAAGAAGUAGAAGAAAGUAAACAGAGUGACACACGGAUAACCUUCGAGAGGAUAAAAUUUAAAGUACCCUCUAGAUUCCGUCGAAAAAGAAGUAAACAAAGUGCUACGUCAGGGUUGCAACAGGGGUGGCCAAUCAGAAUUGGGCAAGUGCCACCACUAACCAAUACCUUUGCAACGCCUCUGCAGAAAACAAUUUUUAUUACAUUUUUUUUACUUGUUUUUAUGUUUUAUUUUAACAGUGUGUUUUUUUGUGAGAAGCAUUUUAGAAAUAUUGUGGUUAAAAAAAUCUCAGAUAUUCGCUGUAAAUUAUUGUUUUUAUCUCCUUAUCCAUCAGCGCAUAUCAAUCAAAACUACCAACUUCAAUCGUCUGAAAUCGGAGGUACUGUAACAAGUCCCAAAAUGUCCAUUCUCUCCCUCUGUCUGUUGUACAAUUGCUGACGUCACGCUGACAUUCUCAUAGUGACAUUUUGCUGGCUGUGUCUUCAUUGUGUUCGCUAACAUGUCAAAGUCGGACUCCUGUCUUGGGGAAAAAAUAUGCCACCACCUUUUUGGACCCUCCUCAUUCACACUUCAACACCUGCACCAUAUGUCACAAGUUAUAAAGAAGACAUAUGACUUUUAAACCCCUGGCAUCAGAUUUGAUUCCGUCAAAUUCCUCGGUAAUGUACGUCUGAGUGGCUGUAAUUCAUUUAUUCAGCAGUUUUGCAUAUUAUGGGAUUUGCAUGCAAAUCAGCCUUUAAGUUCCAGAGCCACAGAGCUCGACUGCCCUUCUCAGCGGCAACACUGAGGCGGGACGUCUUUAAAACAGCAAGGGAAGCAGCAACACUAUUAUCUAAAGUAUUAAAAAUCAUGACAUUGCACAGCGUAAAUCCCAUGCCCAAUUGUUCCUUCUUAAAGACGGUGCUGGGCAGGAAAAUAAAGCCACAUGGAUCCCUGCAGGGGCUUAACAACUCGUUCAGCAGUAACAGGAUGGACCAAAGAUAAUGCCCUUGUAAGGCUGAGAAAGUCCUCACCCUCGUCGCCUUUCUUUAAACUGUGGAUGACACAAAACAUGUCAAGCCAAAGAUUAUCUGAUCACUGCCUCUCAUAACAUUUUCAAGCUGUGCCUGGUGGAGAAUAGGAGACAGGCGGAAAAUCCUUAACCUCAUUAGACACAGAGGAUUCAACAGCGCUGCGGAAAAUUGCUCAAUCAGACCAAGAGGAGCUUUGCGCGGCCUCCUAUUUUCCCGGCGAGGAUUACGAAUUCAGGAAGUGGCACUUUAUCAUUUGUUAUUUGUUGUUUUGAGAGUGUUGAAAGCCAGAUGUUCAAUCAAACGAGUCAUUGUCUGGAAAUCUAGAGCUCCCAAAACGAUGCCUGCAAAAGCCCAAUAUGCAAAACGCCGCUCCCCAAUCAGCACCAGUACCAAAGAACUCGGCAAACUGAGCGAUUGUGCAAAGUGGUCGAGGUAGCGGCGGCAGACAAGGCCCUGCUCUUCUUUCAGCGAGUGUUUCCCAGACCCUCAGAUCUUGUCCCAGCCAAAACGGAGGAGUGCAUCAAUUGCUCUGCUGAAUUUCCAUCCGUCUUCGUGGAUGAUUUCCCCCGUGGUCCCUCUUGUCGAACAUGGAGGUGGGGGGAGGGCGUGGGCGGUUCGUCUCAACAUCGUCUGUCUGCACUGUCACCUCAUCUGAAAAAAAACAGAGUCUUCCCAAAGUGUGAUUGAGCGCUGAGUUAAGUGGUCGACGGUGGAGAGCUUUCUUGGCUUCUUUCGCCUGAUGAGGUGAGGUGGGGCACAGAUGCCCGUUUCUGCAUCGGCAAGCAGAUGCACUCCGCGCCGGGGAUUCUUUCCUUUCAAUUAGUCCCAGCAAUCAAUGCAAUCUGUGUUUGGUAAUCUGCAGCUCUGUUGUUCUGGCAGAGGAAAAAACACUUCGAGAAGGAAAGACGGCUGGAGAGUGGAUGAAAAGUAGCUGCAGGAAUCUGAAAACAUACCAUAAAAAAUAGUUUUCGAAUAGGUUAAAAGGUUUUUGCAUUGAUUGAUUCAUUAUUCACGUCGUUAUUGUGCUGCUAUGUGAGCAUAUUGUGCUGACUUUUUGACCUGUAUGUUGAAAUAAGCGGCGUCCAUGAUUUCCAAAAAGAAUAUUAAAUAUCAAAUUUUGAUUAAUCAGACUUCUAGACAUUUUUCUGGCAUUUCUAGAUCAUAUAUGAUUGGUUCAACAUCAUCAACAGUACAUAUAGGGUCCCAGCCAUAGUUCUAGCCAUCAAACAUCUUUUUAACUUUGCCUGGUUUCCUUGGUUAAGAGACCAAACACAACUCACCCACUCUCCUCCAGCAGCCGCUUGUUUGUGGGGGAACCCUGACGAGUCGAUCACCAAGUGCAGCGGAAAAUUUAUGAUUAUUUCUUUAUGGAAAUGCAAUCAGACCGAGACACUAAUGCAGAAGAACUACCGCGUCUGCAUUGCACAUACAAGAUACACAAGAACUCUGAUUGUAUUCUUGCUCAAACAAUCAGAGUUUAGUUGAAAACACAGGCGUAGUCGCAAAAGUGCAGUAAUGGUGGUAUUUAUGUAUAGCAUGCCUUCCAAGGUCCAAAAAUGCAAAGGUGCAAAAAUGUUCAAAACAGUAUUUACAAUAUGUACAAGGAAAAAAAAAGGCAAGAGUUUAUUCAUUUACUUUAUUUAUUCAUUUAUUUAGCACAGAUUAAAAACAGUGCAAGGAGGGAAAGAAGCUCAUAUGCUUAUACAGAGUUCCACUCCCAUCAGGGCAGUGAUUAGGGAAAGAUCAAACAGAUACAGAUAAAUAGAACAUGGACUAAUCAUCAACCAGCCCAACCAGAGAUAGAGACAAUGUAAGUAUAUAUAAGAAGAAAAGAAACAUAUUUUAAAGGAUUUGAAGGAUAAUAUUGAUUUUAAGAGAUACAUCCAGAUCAUUCCAUAGUUUCGGCCCUCUAAAAGUGAUAUUAGACUGAUGACAAGAAGUUCAACAGAGAGGUGACUGAAGAUGGCCAGUGUGUCUUGUUGAGUACGGGUGAAGGCCAGAUGAAAAGGUUAAAAAGUUUUGGAAGGAGUCAGGAAGGUCUUGUUUCCUAUUUGUGAACUUAUGGACAAACAAGCAAGAGUGAAAGACAUUGAGUUUGUCAAGAUUGAGUAUUUAGAAAAGAGAGGUGCAGAAAAAACCCAAACGUUGGGACCCAAAAAUUAAAAUGAAAUGAAAUAAAAAUAACACAGUGGCUAUACAAAGAUCAGCUCAGCAGUUACCUUUGAUGCAACCAAAUCCAGACUAAAAGAAAGAGCCAGGCAUUCUUCUUUCAACCCCCCUAAGCCAUCCUAUUGAGCGUUAUUAAUUACAUAAGUUUGGAGAAAAAAAAAAAAUCAUUCAUAUCGAAACCAUUUAAAUACUUUUCAAUUUUCACAGUAGGUUUUUACCAAUUUUACUAGGAUUUCACACCAGACAAAAGAGCAUGAAUUUUUAGGGAUUUAUUGCAAACAACAAGGGCUCCAUUUCUCCCGCGUCAUGUGACCAAUUUGACCCGACACACCCACUUAUUUACCACAUGGAGAUCAUGUGCACAGUUUCCUCGUUUGGAAACAUGUGCAGACAUGACGACGUGAAUGGACGCAGCUCUGUCUUACGUGGACAGGGGUAAAAAAAAAACUUUUUCAAGAAUGAACUCAGACGGAGACAGCUUAUAUGAUAAUGGUAAUUUGUGUUAGUCAUGUAAUUGGAGUCCUGUAGCUAAAGAAAAUCACCAUUGUUCACCAAUGUUCUUCUUCAAUCAGCCCGGAAAAAACACGUUAUUAUUAGAUCAUGUUUGUACUCUGGCGUCUUUUUUUGCAUAUGGUGACUCAUGCAGUCACUUCCACUUCGGGGUCAUAGAAAAUAUAUAAGGGAGAGUGGGGUAAGAUGAGCCAUUUUUCAUGUGUCGGAUCACUACAUCAAGGCAGUCAUAGUUUAGUCUCUAACUAGUGUAUCUGCUUAUAUUUCAAGAUGUUGUGCAUCCCUGCAAACCAACAGAAUGAGUGUAAACAUAAACUGUCUUGAUAAUAUAGCAAGCCUAAAAAAGUGGUCUCCUAUGGUCAACUUACUCCAUGUAUGGGGUAAGUUGCUCAUAGAUACCACAAUUGAUGUAUAAAACCAAUUUAAAAUUAUCUUUUUUGGUCUGAAUGCAUUUCUAAUAAAACUUCUGACAGACUAAAUUCCCUGUCAAGAGUGAAAAAUGUCUUUUUGUAAAUAAAUGUCUAACUCCUUCACCCAUGUGCUUCUAACCUUCACAGACUCCAUGAAUUGAUGCCCAUCUCCUAAAUAUUUGGUCACAUGAUCAAUUUAUUUUACCAUUUCCAAGCAACAGUGGGUGGCUCAACUUAACCUUUUGGCUCAACUUACCCCACUCUCCCCUAAAUACAUAGGACAAAAAACAAAAAAAACAAACCACAUAAUAGGGCCCGAUCAAUAUGGAUUUUUCGGGCCGAUGCCGAUUAUUAGGGGGUAAAAAAAUCUGAUUACGAUUAAUCGGACAAUGUUUUAAUUUUUUUAUUUACGCCGCUUACGAUCGGUGCCUCCAUGUCUUAACUCACGUUACUCAUUUCCAGUCUGGUCUCAUCUGGAGACGUGCAGCUGCCUCAGUAAGAGAAGUAGCUCGAUCACGUUAUGUGUACUGUUGUUUAUUCUACCGUUACUGGCACGGCUAACAGUGUAGCAAAGCUAAUAGCAGAUGGCUAACUCUCAGGUUAGCUUGCAUAUUACAUGGCGCUUCACCAUUAACUCGGCGUGACCGAGACCAGCACAGCGGGGAACAUCGUGAAGUGGGUUGAACUGAAACUUGUUGACUUAUUGUGUAUUUCACAAACUUGUUUAUUCACCGUUGAGAUGGACCACUCUCCUCCGUGCGUCCCUGAGCUGCCUGCUUCAGAUCUGUCACUCUGCUGUGCUGUGAAGUAGUUAGUGGAUGAAGAUUGUCAUGAGGUCGCUGCGCCAUCUACAGGAUAAGUUGGGGAACUUUUCAAAUAGCGGAACAUUUUUGAAGUGAAACCGAAUCUUAUUCUCCGCAUUUUAUUUCUGAAAAUAUCAGCGAAAAUC
rnacentral:lncRNA from 1 species